GUGCAUGUAUUUAUGCAUUCUAUAUAUUCUACAUUUCUUGAGGAGUUUCAGUAGUUUGAGUUUGAAGAAGAAAAGAUGUCUAUAGUUGUGAGAAUUCUGUCGUUGGGAUGGGCUAUCAUGAUGAUUACGAGUAUUACAAAUGUUGCAGAUGGAGCAAUUCCUAAUGAUUUGCAGGAAAAGAUUUCUAUCAUAAACAAUGAUGGUCCUUACUUGGGUAUUGUAGUGCCCAACAGUUUUGAGAUGAACCCUCUUCUCCAAUCUUCAAGUUUUGUUCCUCAUUCCACGCUUUCCUACUUGGAUUUUGCAGGUUAGACAACUAUUCACUUGAAAUUUAAUUUAUUGCUUACUUUGAUUUUGUGUAAGAUGAACUAUUCGGUACCAAACGGUAAAAUAUAAAAAAUAAAAUAAAAUAAAGUGGUAUAAUCUUGUCUAGUGCUCCACACUUUUGUCUAAUGUUAUAAUGGUGAAAAAUAAUUUAUUUAUUCAAACGUUAAUAUUAAUUAACUAUUGAAAACAAAGUUUAGAUACUGUUGUUGUCAAUCUUCUCGUAAUAUGUUUGGUUCUACCAAAUCUUCAAGGAGACAGCAAGAAAUAGCAUAAUAUCCAGUUAUAAUAUUCCAAAAUCUUAUGCUUAUUUUCUUCAUCUUCUGCAUUGAAACAGGAAGAAGAUUUCGAUUUGGAACUUUGGAAAGUCGAAAAGUUAUCAUUGUCAUGUCCGGACUCAGCAUGGUAUGUUCAUUUUUGUAAUACCCUACUUACAAGGAAAAUUCAAUGAUUUAUUUCUUCCCAUUUUUCAGAGGUACAACAUAAUUAAUUUAAAUUAUUAUUUCAUAGCUUAAUGCAGGAUUAGUAACACAGUUGCUGCUUAGUAUAUUCGAGAUUGAAGGAGUAGUUCACUUUGGAAUAGCAGGAAAUGCAAAUCCUAACUUACAAAUAGGAGAUGUUACUAUCCCUCAUUAUUGGGCUCAUUCAGGCGUUAUCUCACUACGUAAAACCCAUCGAUUUAGAUGCUCCGAAAACUAUCAAAAUAAGCUGAGAAAAGCACUAGAUCAUUUUCACGUGUAGUGUAUACUCACAUAUAUUCCCAUUAAAUGACUUUGUUUAAAUCCUUGCGCAAUUUUUUUGAUCAGAGGUUUGGAGAUGGGCCUGAUGAUGAACUUGCAUUUGAAUCUAAUGGAGACUAUACAAGAAAAAUCGGUUAUCUUAAUUUCUCUCAAUAUGAAAAUGGCACAAAAAAUGGGAAUUAUUCAGGCAACCUUCUCAACAAUGUGUGGUAUCAAGCGGAAGAGAUAUUUUCCAUUGAUGGACAACCUGAGAUUAGACAGCAUGCCUUUUGGGUUCCUGUUGACAAGCUGUACUUUUCACUUGCAGAAAAACUUGAGGUUAAUUUUCUACUAUCUUGGCUUAAUCUCUUUUGACACCAAAGUUUAUCUACUACAAUGAAACUUUACUGAAAGACUUACACUAACCACAAAUAUGAUUAGCCCAAAAGAUUGACACAUUUGUUUACUUAAAUUUAGUUUUUAAUUUUCGCUUUUCUGUACAGGAUAUUGUCCUUGAAAAGUGUGUCAAUUCUACUACGUGUUUACCUCGAUCUCCAAAGGUAUUUAGAGUGGAAAGAGGAGUGAGUGCUAAUGUGUUGUUAGACAAUGCUGCCUAUCGAAAUUUCUUGUAUUCCAAGUUCAAUGCAACUCCGGUCGACAUGGAAAGUGCUGGAGUAGCCCUCGUAUGUCUCCAACAAAGGACCCCUUUUAUAGCAAUUAGGGCACUAUCUGAUUUAGCUGGUGGUGGUUCUUCUCUCUCCAAUGAAGCUGCUAUCUUCUCUUCACUAGCUGCUCAAAAUUCAGUUACUGUUCUACUUAAGUUCAUUACCUUGCUGUUUUCGCAACCUCAAGUUAUUUAACUUUUAACCGUUGGUACCAAAAAUAAAGCAGCUGAUUCAGUAGCAUGGGUUGAGAUAAAGGCCCGGUGUCAUUAUGGACACAAUCCAAUAAAGUUAUUAAUCAAUGUUGUUCCUAUUGAAGUUCAUUUUAUAAUGUUUUUCUUAUAAUGUUGUUUAUAUAAACCCCAUAUGGAAUGCAAUUAAGAGUAAUACACAAAUAUCUGCAUUGAUAUUCUAUUAAAAAAGAAUAAUGACGUGAACCAAUAGAAAUCGCCUCCCAAAUGGAUAUAUCAAGAAAUACAUGGCUAGAAAUAUCCAGUACUCUCUAGAAUCCACCAAAGAGAGACAAGAAUUCCAAGAGAAUGACAAAUAUAUCUCAAACAAAAAUAGGUUUAUAUUCAAAUAAUUGUGUUUCUACCUUCAAGGAUUUUCAAGAUUAUAUUUAAAUGAAAGAAACGUCUAUAUUAAGUUACAAAUUCGUGCAUUUAGAUUCCAAAGAAAUUGAAGAAUCAUAGGAACUAUCUUGAACCAGAAAAGAAGUGACUUUUAGCAUCCCCACGAAUAGACUUUUCAACACGACCACAUUGCUUUGAAAUUUUGAGUAGGAAAGUCAAAAAGGAGAUCCAUAAAUUGCUUUGAAAUUUUGAAUUGAUAACCCAAUGAUAUAUUAUUUUAUAUCUAAUAUGUCUCAACAUGUCUCAUAAUUUAGUUGAAGUGACACCAAAAUUCUACACCUUAAAACUCUAAAGCACCAAAUUUGACUUCCUUGUUUACUCUUUAAUUAUUCCAAUUUACUAUUUUUACUUUUAUUUGACAAAACACAAAGUUUUGUUUGAUUUUUGAUCUAAAUUAAACUAACUUAAUGUAUGUUAAUGUAAACAAAAAUCGAAUUAGGUUUUUUGAAUAUGAAGAAGAUAUUAAGGCAGCCAAUUUCAUUUAUUGAUCAACUUUAAUUCCUUAAUCAAGAAUCCGAACUAAAUAUCGUGUUUGGUCUAAUACUUCUAAUGUAUUAGAUUUAUCUAUCUUAAGUUCAAAUUGAUUCUAUUCCAUAUCUUUAUGUGAAUCAUGAUAUACUAAACAUUAAAUUUUUAAGAAUUCAUUUAAUAACUGCAUUAACUGUAAAAUGUAUCUUUAUACUAGAAUCUUGAAAAUUGAAUGAACAAGGUUUCCAUAAACUACAUCAUUUGCCCUAACAGAAAGUUUAGUUUCGCAUAUUGAAUGAAGAAAGGCAAAAUUAUUAGUGAAUAAAUCUCUAGAUUUUGAAUGAAGAUGUAGAAAAGUGUAUGAAUCUUGCACCAAGAUCCUCUUCAAUCAACGCUUCAAAUCCUGGACUUGAUAUCUUGAUUUAUUGCUUUUCUUCUAUGUGUUUCUCUCUAAUUCUUAAUUUGUGGAACAUUUUUUCCUCUCAGUCAAGUCUUUAUGCAGUAUUAUAAUUUUAGAAUAGUUCCCAUCGAAAAAAAUACAAAUAUUUGCAGUUUACCCUACAAUUUUCCAAAGCUUCCAUUUUGGUCCCCAAAAUUGCCAAUUAUCAAUUUUUUUAUCCUUAUUCUUUUGAAUUCAUUCAAUUUCUCAAAACAUGUUUCAAUCGAUUGAUUUCAAUCUCAGAUGGUCUUCAGGUGUUCAAAUUAUUCUCCAAUCAAGUUCAAAUCACCACUUUUUGCAUCAAUCAAACUCAACGUUGAUCUUUUCCUACAUAUCACAUAAUUAGGCAGCAAUCCACUCAAAUUAAUCAUAAUUUAUCAAGAUUAAGAGCAAAAAUAAGCAUAUAAAAUACACUUAUCAACACCAUAAACAUAAACUUUUGUUUGCCUUGAACAAGAUUAUCAACCCAAUACACAUGCAUGCAACAAUUAGCAAGUUAGAUAGUCUAUUGUAUUUGCUUUAGGAGUCGAAACUGUGACUGUCCAAAGUUAACACCACCUCGAUGAUUGAGACAUGGUGAGAAAAUUGGGACUUUUCUGUCGAUUGGUUCUUCUUCUAGAGUGGGUAUAUCUUCUUCUGCAUUCUCUUCCUUUGCUUCUACUACCAAUCUCCCUUGCUUGUGCCGAUUUAUCUGUGACUUUGACUAUCUCGUUAUUGUAAGGCAUAUAAGUGGUGUCACCUUUUUUUUCUACUUCAAAUAGUGUCAUAGGUACUCCAGCUCUUUUCCACAAUGCAGAAAUCAAACUAGGCAUUGUUAGUUUUGUGUGAUCUCUAGGAAACAUAGGACGAUCCCUGAUUGUGUUGAUGAUGAUUUAUCCAAAAUUAAGUUGUAUCUCAUGGCUAGUUUGUACAGAAACGUAAUCUUUAAUAUAUAAAUUACAGUAAUACAGUAUUGUAUAUUGUUGGGAUCAUGUUGCUUGAGAGAAAAUGAUGGAAGAUACAUAGUUCAUCAUUCAUAUUUCCAUGAUCAACUAUGUUGGUGGUUGGCCAACCUUAGGCUUGGCCCUUGAAUAUACGAAUUGCGCUACUGUGUCCUAAUCAAUGGUCUUAGUACUUUAGACCUUUCUUCAAUAUUAUAAUACACUUGAACACACAUAUGUUUUAGAUAGUCCUCGCUUUCUUCCUCUAUAUCAUCUACAUUGAAGCUACACAUGAAUUCGCUUUCUACGUAUGUGUAAACCUUAUUGGGUUUAGCAUACAGUUUGGUCCACCCCUUUUCCCUGACAAUGUUCAGUAUGUUCAUGAGUUGGAUUUGGUCUAGUUGCACUCCCUGUGAAUAAGAGUCCAAUUAUUGAAUAUAUCUGCACAUUGUGCUAGUUCCUAAAAAAUAUAAGUUUCAUAAGACAAAAGCUCGAAUUGAGCCCCCUUUCUAGUGCUAGAGGACUCGAUAAUUCCCUUUCGCUUAUUUGCUCUAAAGAUUGUUGUUCUUGGAGGUAUUGUAAAUGAGUUAUAUCCUACAAAUGUAAAUAAGAUGUUAGGCCAAAUUAUAUUUCAUCAACUUGUAUAAGGAAAAUAUGUAUUAAUGAUAUAUGCAAGGAUGAAGUGAAUAACGUGACUCAAUUGAAAUUUUCAUUAUGUGUGAGGAUUGUGGAGUGGACAAACACCCCCAAACUUAAUGUGAUAUAGUAGCACAAGAGUAUAGGGUUAUAGUAGCUAAAAUUGAAUUGAAAACCUUUUAACUAACACUUGAUGUAUAAGGGAAAUUCUUAGGUCUAAUCCAUUCCUCUCUACAUAAUUGAUAUAUUACACUUGGAACAAUAAGGAAUUAUGGGUAAAAAUUGACAAACACCUAGUUGUAGACUUUCAACAAACACAUUGUGUGCAAAAAAAAAGUUCCAACCAAAAUCCACUAAUUAUCAAUUCUCAAACAAGACCCACAUUCUUCAAUCUAACAUCCUUAAAUCCAAUCCCAACAAACUCCAAUUCAAUGUUUUCCUACAACCAUUUGAAAAAUAAGUUUUUUCAAAAUAGUAGAAAAAUUCAAAAAGUUAUAAACUUACCUUGAAGAUUAUGAAUUAAGUGAAAGUGGAUUUAAAAUACUCUUCUUUUGAUUAAAUCAAAUAAUUUUCCUUGCAGAGUAAGAGAUAAAAGAAGAUUUCUAGUCGUGAAGGGUAGAGUAGUUAGGGUUUUGUGAGGAGAGAAUGAGAAUAUUUCAGGGAAAAGUGAAGAUGAUUAUGAUUUUGAAAGUCUCAUAUUUUUAUGUUGUCAAAUAUUUAUUUUUUAGUAUUUAGUUUAGCCAGUAACAAAAAUAAGAAAAGAAAAGGUCAAAGUUAAAAGGCCUGGAUAUGGUCGUUAGUUGGAAACCUUCUUAUUCUUCUUCUUCUUCUUCUUCUUUUUUUUCAUUUUUUUUAUAAUUUGAAAAAACGUGCAUAUGCAUUCCUAAGUGCUAUAUACAACGUUAUUAUGAAAAAAUUAAAAAGAUUAUAGUUUAAAAUUGCAUUUUCUCUCUUUAGUCCUUGUUUUAUAGUCUUUUAGUUCGACUUUAGCCACAAUCAUUCUGGAACGGCCAUAUCAAGGGUAUCUUUCGUUGUAUGGAAGUCCUCUACAAAAUGUUUGACACUUUGUCCAUUAACUUUGAAGUUUCCCUUUAUUGGAUGAUAAAUUCAAUUGUACCAUAGGAAAUUACUUGAGCUACCAUAAAAGAUAUAGACCAUCUUGAUUUUGGCUUUUCCGAAAGAAGUUUCAAUAUGGAGUUGUACAAGAGAACUUGGUCCCCAUUUCUGAAAACUCGUUGCUGAAUGUUUUUUUCAUGCCAUUGUCUUCUUUAUAGAUAUCUACACUAUAACUGCAAUAUUCUUGUUUUCCCAGCGUUUUCUAAAUCUAUAUUCAGCUCCUUCAGUGUCCAAUAUGCUUUAUGCUAGAAUUCCACGGGUAAAUGACACGUAUUUCCAAAUGCAAACCAGUAUGAUGAAAUCCCAAUCGGUGUCUUUAAAGCAGUACGGCAUGCCCAUAUUGCAUUAUCUAACUUUUUAGACCAAUCAUUAUGAGAUGCAUUCGCACUAAAUUCUAAGAUCCUUUUAAAUUGUCUAAUCAAAGUCUAAGUCUGUCCACGUGUCAAAGGAUUAUUUUUUAAGAGAAGCUCGAACAAUCUAUUUUUUGUACUAUGAUUCACACACUGAAUUGACCACUACUGCAUUUGCUCCAUCUGUUAAAGAUUUUAUUAAUAACUCCAUUUGCUUUGUCAAAACAAGAAUAUGCACAUUGGUAGAUUUCAUGUUGUCCAACUCAUUAAUUCCAUUUGCUAUCUUUGGCACUACUGUUUCAGAUGAAAACAUGAAGUGUGUAGUUGUAAUCAACUACAAUAAUUCCAAAAAAUUGUUGAACUAGUUUACUAAUAAUGGACCCGCUUGCUAAAAAUCUACCUAAGAUCUGAUGAUUUGGCCAUUGGUGAUUGUAUGGCAUAGAAAUACUCUGUUGAUUACCUUUGCUUAUCUCAUGAUUUGGACAAUUUCUCAUUAAAUCUUUGAAUAUAUUCCAACCUUUGUGGUAACUUUCUGCUUCACGUUGCUAGAAUGUAUGGAUUUCAUGUUGAACUUUUGUUACUUUUGUAGGUGGGAAGAAUUUAUUAUAGAAUUUCCUUGCUAAGUCCUCCCAAGUAGUGAUACUACUAUGAGGCUCAGAAUCCAACCACUCAAAAGCUACAUCUCUCAAUGUAUAUGAAAAUAAGUAUAUCUUGAUUACAUGUUCAUUAAUCCCUGUAAGCUGAAAGUUUUGGUAAUUCUGUAGAAAUCUUAACAUAUGUGUGUUCGGGAUUUCAAAAGUAAAUUCUUAAAACUCGAGGAUGUUGCUAUUCAAGUUAAUCCAAUUAGCACUUAUCUGAAAGUUAUUCUUCCCAAAAUCUAGUUAUACAAUACUGGAUAAGUCGAAUGCAGCUAUAGGAGUCAAGAACAUUGACAUUGAAAAGCCUCCUUCAUCUUUCUCAACUAGUUCGCCAUGUUGAAUUUUGGUUCCGCUAUCGUAACGGCUCCUUUGUGCAAUUGGCAAUCUCAAAAUAUUUUGCUCUUCUUCUAUCUGAUGUUCUUAUUUUUGUUUGUGCUCCUUAAGUCUUAGUUUAAAAGUAAGUUCUAUUUUUGGAUCAAAUGAUUCCAGAGUGUUGCCUUAAGAAUGGAGCACAUAACGAACACCUUUUUAUUUGUAAGAAAAAUAACUAACCAAGUAAAAAUAAAACAAUCAAGUAAAAGUAAAACAUAAAAUAAAUAGUCCAAGCAACGGUGCCAAAAUCUUGUUACCUUUUUCCUAUCGCAAGUGUACGAUAUCAAAAAAGUAAUAUAACGGACAUUUGAAUCCAGAUAAUCAUUCCCACAGAAGCUAUUUUUGUUCCUAGUUUAUAAUUUCUACUUCUAUUUUGCGAAAAAAAAAGUUUAGUUUGAUUGUUAUUCUAGAUUAUACUAAAUUAACGUAAUGUACAAAGAAAUUGAAUUAGGUUUUUGAAUAUGAAGGAGACAUUAGGGUUGACAAUUUCAAUAUUGAUCACCUUUAAUUCCCUAACCAAGAAUCUUAUCUAAAUGUUGUGUUCAGUCAAAUUCUUCUAACAUAUUCAAUUUACCUCUCUCGAUUCAAAUUGAUUCUACUUAACUAAGUAAAUUCCAUAUUUCUGUGUGAAUCAAGAUAUUCAUUGGCUAAAAGCAUUAACUUCCUGGAAUUCAUAUAACAACUGCAUUAACUAGAAAAGGCAUAUCUACGCUUUUAUACUAAUUUCCAGAUUGUACUACAUGGUCUAAACCUAUAACUUACCUCACGACAUGUUUAUAAGUUCACAAGAUCAUUGAAUUAUUGGCCAAGAAAUUGAAAUUAUUCAAUAUCAUAAAUAAAAUAAACACAAAUGAAAUUGAGAACAAGAAUCUUGAAAAUUGAAUUCAAGGGCUUCAGUAAAUUACAUUGUUUGCACUAACAAAAAGUUUAGCUACACGUAUUGAAUGAAUAAAAAAUAAAGAAUUAUUGUUGAAUGCAUCGUUGGGUUUUGAAUGAAUAUGUAGGAAAAUGGACGAACUUGCACCAAAAUCCCCUUCUUGUCCAAAUCAAAGCUUCAAAUCCUAGUCUUGAUAACUUGAUUUCUUACUUCUUCUUUUUAUGUGUUUCUCUUAAUUCUCAAGUUGUGGAUCCUGUUCUUCCUCUCAUCAAAGUCUUUAUAUAAUAUUAUACUUUUUAUAAGAGUUCCCUUUUAAAACAAGCUCAAAAGGACGAAAAGAAAAGAAAAACAUACAAAACUAAUCGGGCCACGGGUAGGCUGCAGGUUGCAAGCCAGUAGGCCAAUUGUGGCAUACAAGAUACAACAAUGGCUGCAAGUCGACUGCGGGUUCCACCUAGGGUCCACUUUUUCUUAUUUUCAAAUCGGCCCUCCAAUUUUCAAAACUUUCAUUGUGGUCUCCAAACUUUUUAAUUAUUAAUUUUUUUGUCCUUAAACUUUUGAAUUCAUCCAAUUGCUCCGAAACUUCUUUCAAUUGAUCUAUUUCAAUUGAUGAUCUUCAAGUUUCUAAAUUAAUCUCCAAUCAAGCCGAAAUCACCACACUCAACCUUGAUAUUUUCCUAAAAAUCACAUAAUUUCAGAUAAUUGGGUAGCAAUUCGCUCUAUCAUAAUUUAUCAAAAUUAAAGCCAUAAAUAAGCAUAUAAAACAUAUUAUUAGUCCAAUUUCAUUAGCUUGACACUACUUGUACUACUAGGAGGGUCGAUCAAAACUUUGAUAAAUAAUUGACUCUAUUUAUUUGACUUUUCAUAAGACCUUCAAUCUUUCGACAUUACUAUGUCUCAAUUUAAGUAACGCAUAACAUAACAUUUUGCAUCAUAUAAAAGGAUAUCGUUAAAGGAAAUUUGGUAGGAUUACCUCAAAAAUAUGAAACAAAUUUUGAUGACCACAAACAUCCUUUAACUGAAAAGGAAAUUGCUUGCGUGAAUCCAUAUCUACUAAUUCCAUUCAGAAAUUGAAAUAUUCAUUGUUGACAAUAUCCAUAAAAUAAUUGUCAUGUUUGAAGUUUCUUCAAUUAAGACGUUAUUCUAAAGUUUAAUUGUUUUUUUAAAUAUUGUGCAAAUGAGUUUUCUUUAUUUGGAGCAACGUGCAAAUUCGUCCAUCAUUUUGGCUAAAAUAAGAAAUUAUGAUCCAAGUACACAUCAUCAUCAUACAAAUUUAUGUCUCUAUUUAUAGACAACCACAUGUUUUUUACUUGUAUUUUCAGCGGGGAAAAUAUUGAAAUCAAAGAAUCUUAUUCGUAUCAAACAAGUGUAUGGUUAGAAAACUAUGUCCAGUGGGCUAAAUCACAUUUUUGUUCGGAACUAUGAUCAAAAUGAAGUUAAUAAUACUCUGUUGUUUUUGUAGUAUCAAAUGACAAAUCUCAAGUUUAUUUGACUUAAAUCAAUGAGAUUGAUGGUUAAUGUUAGUCCUAAUCAAGUUCAUUUUACUUCGUUGUCUUCAUAAUGUCAUUUAUGUAAUUGAACAAGAAAUUAAUUCAUUUGUAAUAUCAUUAAUAUAGUAAUACAAAUGUAUGUGUCGCUGAUAUGUUGAAAUAGAAUAAUUCAUGGAGAAACUAAAAUAUAUAGACAAAUAUUACGAAAUUUAUUGAUUUGUGUAUUUUAUACACUUAUCAGAUCCUAAAAUAGCGAUAUUUGAUAGUUCAUUUGACAAAAAUAUAUCAUAAAUUGUUGUAUUUUAUGUCAUACAAGUAAAACUCAAUGGUUGAAUGAAGAGAAAUUGAAAGAAAGAAGCAAGAGGAAUUGAAAGAAAGAAGAAAAAAUUGGUGAAAAAUGUGAAAUCCAAAGUAUGGGGACUAAAUUACAAUAUUCUAAUAGCUGAUUUGGACCAUGAAAUGAAGAUUAAAAAUGUUCUGGGUUUAAUUGUAUGCAAUUGAAAAUUUAAGGAACAAAAUUACAAGAGAGAGUGGCUGAAAUGAAGUAAAAUUAAUGUUUGAAGACUAUAGUGCAAAUAUCGAAAACUUGUGUCAAACCUUAUGAUGAAGAUUCUAGAGUGUUAGGGGUCAAUAGGAGGAAAGAAGUCAAGGGGAUGAAAUAUAGUCAAAAUAUUAUCACAUAUCAACUUUCAAGUAAAAAAGUUAUGCUUCAGACUUUCAGUUUCUGCUUGAAACCAUUUUUGGCAUAGGAAACAUUCAAAUCGGAAAAAUUAUAUUUCUAGAAAAAUUUGGCCAUUGAGUUAUCUUUCCAACACACUUUGAAUCACUUCAAUAAGAUAUUCGGAGAGAAAGAUAUGACUAAAAUUCUAAAGUCUAUCUAACGGAAAGGAAAUUGAACUAUACAAUCGCAUCCUAACAUGCAGGGACAAACUUGGAGCUCAACAAGCGAACUAUGCAGUCGCAUCCUAAUGUACUAUACGAUCACAUAGUACAAGAUUUUGACAGAAUCUCAGAUUUCUUUAUACAAUUAAAACUCAACUUGGUAAGGUUUUGGGCAACAUCUUUGACCUAGAUACGAGUCAUACAUAUAUCAGAACAUCCUAUGUACAUUUAUUCAACAAAAAAACUCAAGAAUUUGAAACAAAUAUGUUGAAAAAGAGAGAAAAUUCAUCUUUGAGGAAGAUUUCAACCAAGGAAUUGCAAGAAGAUCAUCGACGAGACUUUAUACCAAGAAUUUUGCACAAAGAUUAAAAGGAAACCUCAAAAGUUAUCAAGAAUCCAUCAUUUUCUUUAGUAUUCAAAUUCUAGGUGAUGUUUAUUAAACAUAGAAUGAUUUCUUGUAAAUUCAAUAUGUUUGGCUAGAUAUUUGCAUUGCUAGGAUGAGAAGAACACUUGUUAUGAGAUUUUUGGUAUUAAUUAAUUAUUUUGACGUUUAGUAUGUAUGUUUUCUUGGAUGUUUGUUAUUGUUUUCACCGACUUCUCAAUUGAUUAGCUACUAAUUGGGAUGAUUUAUUGGAAUCUAUUGUUAUUGAGAGAGAUAAUAAGUUUUUACCUAAAAAUAAUAAAUAUUGUAAGGUUUGAUAAUAUCUAUACUUUACAUGGUUUUCAUAGGUAUUCUAGAUCAUUUAAUGCAUUUAUCAUGUUCAUAUCUUUUAUCGAGAUAUAGGAAAGUCACAUGAGGGCAAUAAAUUUGAUAACUAUCGAGAGAUGUUUUUAAUUAAAUUAGGAAUAUUGAUCAACAAUAAUGACUACAAAUUGUCGCUUUAUUUUGUUGUGCUUAAAUUGGAUUAGCAAGGGAGAUUUGACAUCCUAGCAAUACUUUCACAUAUUUGAAAAACUAGUUAAAUUGCUUCUAGUUUGAUUUAUAACUUAAGUAUUAGUAUAGAAAACUCAAAACUUGUUCCUAUUCGAUUAAGGCUAUUAUUAACUUGAACUCAAUCAAAUACUUAAUCCUUUUGGGUUUGACACUCUACAUAUUACUAUAUUACUUGUUCAUGAUCCCGUCCACUUACAAGGAAUCAAACGACCAUGGAUAGAAAUUGAUCCUACAAAAUAUGUAGGUAAAAAUUUGUUUGAUAAUCUUAGAUUAUAUUUUCAAAUUUUCUCAAACAUGCGUUAACUUUUUAGCAGAAAAGCUAAAGGCUAAGCACGGUUCAUGUCAAGUUUGGACUAAAGUGUAGAAACCCAGGAAUAAGACAUAUCUUGGAUAACCUUUGUUCACUCGACUACUCAAGUCUGGCACGAUCUACUUGCACAUGUUGUUUGAUUAAUGACAAAAUUUGUUUCCAAUUUCAAUUGAUCCACCUCGAACUUGGUUAUUUGGCCCAUUUUUACACCCCUAGUUGGCAAUAACUUGUUUGUUAAAUGUUAAUAACUCCACAAAACUUGAAAUUACCUCUCAAAAGUAAUUCUAUGUGUUACAUGAAGAAAUGAUUAACUUUCGCAAAAUAAUUCACUAUUUCUUGAUCUAUUGCCAUUGGCAUUGGCAAACUCCAUGAUUUUUUUAGUUGUUUGGUGUAUCUUCAUUUCAUAAGAGAACCAAAAUGAUAGGAAAAGAUGAUUAUCACCUUUCAUUGUUGUGUUUUAAUAUUUACCUAAUGCAUUAUUUUAGUCAAAAGCACCUAUGAAAUUAUUUUAGUUGAACAGUAACCAAACAACUUAGCAUUUCUAUUAGGUAUUUUAAUAUCAAAUAAACUCAGGACAAUAAUGAAAAAUCAGGUCGGAUUAAUUUCAUAGGAUUUGAGCCAAAUUAUUGAACAUUGUUUAAAGAUUGACCUCAGUAAUAAUUGGCGGGCCAUAAUCGAGAUGGAUGGAGAAUCCCACAAGUGUCAAUUAGAGGCAACUAGGGCUUGACCUAUUUAAUAUUUACUUGGGCCAUUUAGAUGACCUACCCUCUACUGUUUGAGAUAAAGAUACGCUACAUACGCUGCUUUCCUUCCUUACCUCUUACUGCACAAUUCUCUUUGGUUUUCUUUGUGACCUUAGCCCUACAACCGGUAGCCCCUGUUUGCGGGCCGUUGGGAUUCUUGGGUCCAAUUGGUUAUGUGAACAAAUAGAAAUCUCCGCUCAAAUGUAUCUAUCAAGGAAUGCAUAAUUAGGAAAACUUAGCACUCUCUAGAAUCCACCAAAAGAGAUGCAUGAAUUUAUAGAGAAUGAUUAGUACCUCUCAAAUUAAAGUAGAUUAAUAUUCAAAUACUUUCGUUUCUACCUUCAAGGCUUAGAAGAGUGUGAUUUAAAUAGUCGAGACUUGGAACAACCUUCCAAACAUAGGCAUUUUCGUAAGAAUUCUGAUAGGCCCUUGUCAAAUACACCUAUUCUAGAAGGGUCAAGAAGGCGGUAGAGGACUUGGGUAAGUGUAAGUGUACAAGCAGCCUUCCACCCUAUAUCCUUGGAGGCAUAACCUGCGAUUUAUCUCCCUCACGAUGCUCCAGGGCAGGGGCGGUGGGGGACCCUUAAGGUUGGGGUUUAACCUUUUAAGAAGGCGGUAGAGGAGUAACAAAUUCUGUUGAGCAAAGAUGACAUGGCUAGAGUUAGUUACAGAUGAUGGUUAUAAAUAGAAUAGAUGCAUGGAGUCAAGGGAUAUGGAAAAAGUUUGUAAGCAAGUCUUAAUAGGAAAGUCAGGCCCUCUCGAACGGCCUCUACCAGUUACUGUGUUUGAGUUGUAUUUCUCAUUCAAUCAAUACAAUUAGUUUUCUCUUCCUAUUUUUCUCUUAUUUUUCCUUGAUUUUACAGUAGGACCCUAUCAUUGUGGCAUUAAAGCACCCUGUUCCUUUCGCAGUCAUGACUCUGGUGGACUAAGUAAGUGUGUUGGAACAAAAGGUGGACUGUAAUCAUCGUCAACUACAAACUAACCUGGAGGUAUUAUGAUUAGAGUUUCAUUCAAUGCAUACAGGCAUUAUGGAGAAGGUGGAUGUGCUGCUACAAGAUUGGGCAAGCCAGGAGAGAGAUUGCAAGGAAAAGGAGAUGGUAAAAUUACUAGCAUCAUCUGUCGAGUUUGGGCCAACCUAUUCCAGACCAAGUAGAAGCCAAUACAAGGGAGAUGGAGCUCUAGGAAAUUGGAGAGAAGAGUGGUGCGUAAGGCAUUUGGAUAUGCCUGUGUUCGACGACACGAAAUCAGAUGGUUGGAUUUUAGGGUGGAAAGAUAAUUUGGGAUCAACACGAUGAUCAAAGAAGAGAAGAUGGAUGCCGUUGUCGUAUGUUUGGACAAAGAGGCGUUAAUCUAGUUUAAAUGGGAGGAGAAAUGGUGGUCGAUUCGAAACUGGGAGGAGAUGAAGCUAAGGCUGCUACGACAUUGUCGAGCUUCACAAGAAGGGAAGUUGUGUGUCCAAUUUUUGGUAGUUAGGAAAGACACCACAAAAAGGUCUUAUCACCAGGGACUUGAAAUGUUGGUUGCACCCAUUGAACGGUUUAUCGAAGAAAGUGCUAGAAGAAAGUUCUAUGAAUGGGUUGAAGCCAAAAUUGAGGACAGAAGUCCAAUUAUAUAGGCUUUCUGGGCUGGAAAAAUGAUGGAAAUAGCCCAGAUGGUGGAAGAAAGAAAUUGAGUCGUAAAGGUUGGACAGUGGAGCCUAGGUCCAACAAAAUCUAAAGCAAUCACUCCUCCUAAUCCAAACUCCUCCUAAAGUCUUAACCCAAUACCCAAGCCCACCAUCCCUCUUAAUAUCAUCCUAAAUCAUAUGGCCGUCCCUAGUUUAUUCCCAAAACAGACCGUUCCGUUCAAACGACUCACAAAUGUCGAGGUACAAACUAAGCGUAAAAGGGGAUUAUGCUAUCGAUGUGAUGAAAAGUUUACGAUCGGCCACCAGUGUAAGAAUAAGGAGCUCCAAGAGCUUGUGAUCAGAGAGAUAAAAGUCACGUCGGAGGAAGAGUUGGCACACGACAGCAGUGAGGAAAGGGCUGUAAUUGGGAACACCGAAGUAGAAAAGGCUGAAGUAAAUCAGGCCAUUGAGCUGUCAAUUAACUCGGUUGUUGGACUCACCACUCUGGGAACGAUGAAGCUGAACUGUAAACUCGGCCAAAGGAGGUAGUUGUACUUAUUGAUAAUGGAGCAUCCCAUAAUUUUGUCAGUUCUGAAAUUGUUCAAUACCUGGGCAUUCCUUCGUCUGGAACCCUACGGUAUGGAAUGAUUAUGGGGAUGGAUCUCACUGUAAAAGGAGAAGUUGUAUGAAAACAGAUAUCUCUGAAGUUACAAAACAUGCUGGUGGUAGAGGACUUUUUACCCUUGGGGUUAGGGAGCUUGGAUGUCAUAUUGGAGAUGCAGUGGCUGCAAAAUUGGUAAGGAUGCAAGUAGAUUGGAAUACUUUGACGAUGACUUUCAACACAGCAGGAACCACGAUGACCCUUCAAGGAGACCAAAGUCUAAGUAAAACUCCAGUGUCACUAAGAAUGAUGUGAAAGUUUUUAGAGAGCAAGGAGAAGGGCUCUUGUUGGAAAUGGAAAAAAUCAUUAUUGAGGCCAAAAGAGCGCCUGAGCCACAAAAAAUCAUUGUCGAGGUAUUGAAGGAGUUUUCUACAUUUUUCGAGAAUAGCAGUAAGUUGUCCCCCCUCAUUGAGCUCAUGGCCAUUCUAUCAACCUACAAUCAGGAGCAGGCCCAAUUUGCACGAGGCCGUAUAGAUACCUGUAAUUCUAGAAAAAUGAAAAAUUGAGAAUUUAGUACCAAAAAUGCUUUCUAUAGGAGUUAUUUAGCAUAGCACAAGUCUAGUGCUCCUUGUGAAGAAAAAGGACGAGAGUUGGAGGUUUUGUAUUGACCAUCUGGCAAUGAUCAAGGUGACCAUUGUAGACAAAUUCCCAAUUUCUGGUCAUUGAUGAGCUGUUGGUUGAGCUACAGGGAUCAACCAUUUUUUUUGAAAAUUGAUCUAAAAUCAGGGUAUCAUCAAAUUAGGGUGAAGACUAGAGACAUUCCAAAAACUGUAUUCCACACUCACGAAGGCCAUUAUGAAAUCCUAGUUCUGCCAUUCGGCCUAAAAAAUGCAUUGGCAACCUUCCACCCUUUGAUGAACGAUAUAUUCAAGGUGCAAUUCUGAAGAUUUGUUCUAGUCUUUUUUGAUGAUAUUUUAGUUUAUAGCCGAACAGUAGAGGAGCACCAGGAGCAUUUGAGAUGGGUAAUACAACGGUUAGCAAAAUAUCAUCUAUUUGCCAAUAAAAAAAAAUGCUUGCUUGGUCAGAAAGAGCUAGAAUACCUCAAUCACAUAAUUUUAGGAAAGGGGGUAGCAGCUGAUGCAUCUAAAGUGGCCGCAACGGUAGCUUGGCCGUGACCAAAGUCCCUUAAAGAACUACGGGGAUUCCUUAGUCUAACAAGGUACUACCUGAGGUUUAUAAAAGCAUAUGGGAAGAUAGUGUGGCCACUAAUGCAACAAUUAAAGAAGGAUAACUUUGGAUGGAGUGAUGAGGUGGAGGCUGCUUUUGAGAGUGUGAAGAAGGCCAUGGUUUUGGCCCUAGUAUUGGCGCUUCUGAAUUUUUCAAACCUGUUUGUGAUCAAACCAAUGGAUUCAACCAUGGUUUGGGGGUGGUUUUGGUGCAACAUCAAAGACCCAUCACCUAUUUUAGUCAAGCUCUUCCAUCUCGAGUCCGUAGUAAGUCCAUUUAUGAAAUAAAGUUGAUGGCAAUCAUAUUUGCUGUGCAAAAAUGGAAGCACUAUCUGACUGGGAGGCAUUUUGUAGUCCAAAUUGAUUAGAAGAGUCUCAAAUUCUCAUUGGAACAACGACUAGUGAAUGAAGAACACCAAAAGUGGUUAACUAAGCUGCUGGGAUUUGAUUUUGACAUAGAAUACAAGCCUGGUUGGAAAAUAAAAUAGCAGAUGCCCUGUCCUGCAUUAAGUUAGCUACAACCUUGAUUACUCUUAGCAUACCAUGUGUACUACAGCAAGAUGACUUAUCAAAGGCAGUGAAGAAAGAUCCAGAGUUAACCCAAAUUCUCACAGCAUUACAAGCUGAUCUGUCGUCAUGCGUAGGGUUUGCACUGAUUUGGGGUGCACUAUUAUAUCAUGAAAAACUUGCCCUUCCUAAAGAUUUUCCAUUUGUGUUGUUAGCAUUACAAGAGGGACAUGAUAGCAAAAUUAAGUGUGAUGGGGGUUUCCUCAAGACAUAUAAAAGGAUAGCCAAAACAUUCUAUUGGAGAGGCACGAAGAAGGACAUUCGGGACUAUGUGGCAGCUUGUGCCACUUAUGAACAGAACACAUAUUCUACUCUCAUGCUUGUAGGGCUGCUUCAACCUUUAACAGUGCCAGAGGGAGUUUGGGAUGAUAUAUCCACGGAUUUUAUCGAAAGGUUGCCAAAAUCAGAUGGUUUUAACUCAAUCUUGGUAGUUGUGGAUCGUUUGAAUAGGUAUAUCACUUUGCGGAUCUCAAAUACCCCUUCUUAGUACCUUUUGUGGUGAUAGUUUUCAUUAAGAAAUAGUUCGAUUGCACGGCAUGCCACGAUCGAUAAUCUUUGAUCAUGACAAGGUGUUUGUCAGCAAAUUUUGGAGUGAGCUCUUUCAGUUGCAAAGCACUAAGCUAAGGUUGAGUUCAGCCUAUCACCCGUAAAUCAACUGUCAAACAGGGGUAGUCAACAGAAGCGUCGAAACAUAUUUGCGUUGCUUUACUUUUGGCAGGCUCGAGGAACGGUUUCAUUUUCUAUCAUGGGUGGAACUGUCUUAUAAAACCUCUUUCCAUGUGUCAACUCAAUUAACACGAUUUCAGAUCUUGUAUGGCCGGGAUCACCACCAGUCAUCCAUUUUGAGAAGGGGUCUAUCGUGGUAUCAUCACUUGAUCACCAGCUGCUAGAACGAGAUCAGUUAUUGGAUGAGCUAAAGAAGUAUUUGCAGCGAGCUCAACAAAAGAUGAAAGCUGCAGCUGACCAGCAUAGGAGGGUUGUUGAGUUUGCAAAUGGAGAGCUAGUCUAUCUGAGAAUGAGGCGCUAUCGUCUUAAAUCAUUAGCACAAUGUUUGAAUGAAAAGCUUGCUCCCAGGUACAAUGGGCCUUUGUAAGUGUUAGCAAAGGGUGGGCCAAUAGCUUGUAGACUGAAACUACCACUUGAAUCCUAAAUUCAUCCAGUCUUUCAUAUCUCUCAACUCAGAAACGCUGUGGGAAAAUUCCAUCUACUCUCCCACAAAAGCUAGGAGUAGAUUGGGAGUUAAAGGUAAAACUUGAAUCUCUAUUGGGAAUUCGUUCUGUACCAUUGGGCGAUAUUGAUAAGAUGGAGGUACCGAUUAAAUGGAUUGGGCUAUCACCAUUGGAAGCAACUUGUGAACCUUUUGAGUUCAUUAACCAACAAUUUCCUUCUUUCCACCUUGCGAACAAGGUGACUAAAUUGGGCGGGGUAAUUGAUAGGUCCCCUAUCAAAUACACCUAUUCUAGAAGGGUCAAGAAGGCAGUAGAGGAGUAAAAAAGUUCUGUUGAACAAAGAUGACAUGGCUAGAGUUAGUUACAGUUGGGAGUUAUAAAUAGAAUAGAUGCAUGGAGUCAAGGAAUAUGGAAAAGGUUGUAAGCAAGUCUUAAUAGGAGAGUCAUGCCUUCUUGAACGGCCUCUACCAGUUAUUGUGUUUGAGUUGUAUUUCCCAUUCAACCAAUACAAAUAGUUUUCUUUUGCUAUUUCUCUCCUGUUUUUCCUUGAUUCUACAGUACGACACUCUCAAGUUCUUAUAAAUUUUCCAAGAUCAAAUUUAAAUGAAAGAAAUAUGCUUAUUAAUUUAUAAAUUCAUGCAUGCAUAUUCCAAAGAAAUUGAAGAAUCAUAGGACCUAUCUUGAACCUGAAAAGAUGUGACUUUUAGCAUUCUCACAAUUAGAAUUUUGAACAUGACCAUUCUAAAGGAAUACAUCGACAACUUUGCUCACGAAAGUCAAAAUCAAUAUCCAUAAAAUGCUUUGAAAUUUGUAAUUAAUAACCAUUCCAAUGGUAUAAUAUUUUGUAUCUAACAUGUCACACGGUUUCCAAAAUUUUAUAACACAAAAAUUCUGCACCUUAAAAAUCUAAAGAAUUGAUAAAAGAAAUUAGACUUCUUUUGUUUGAAGUUUUUAAAUAAAAAUAAAGCAGUGAGCCAUGCCUUAAUUUCCGCCUAUUCUACCUAAGUAAACUUUAAUUACUCCUCAUCGUGAAUCUUAAUGCAUAAGCUUGACCCUACUUGACUACUAGUAGGGUCGAUCAAGACUUUGGCACAUAAUCAACUCUACGACUUUUUGAUCAUUAUUCAUUUGACUUUUCUUAAGAUUGUCAAUCAUUUGACACUGCUAUGUCUCAAUUUAAGUAACGUAUAACAAAAGUUUUUAUAUCAUAUAAAAGAGAUCGUUAGAAGAAAUUUGAUUGGAUUACCUCAAGAAUAUAAACCAAAUUUUGAAGACAAACAAACUCCCUUUAAUUGCAAAUGAAAUUGCUUGUGUAAGGCCAUAUCUAUGGAUUCUAUUCAGAAAUGGAAUUAUUCAGUGUUGACAAUAUCCAUAAAAUAAUUGUCAAGUUUGAAGUUUCUUCAAUUAAGAUGUUAUUCUAACUACUUAAUUGUAUUUUAAAUAUCGUACACGAGUUUCCUUGAUUUGAAAAAAUGUGCAAAAGCAGUCCAGCAUUUUGUCUAAACUAUGGAAAUAUAAUCCAAACCAGGCAUCAUCAUACAAGUUUAUAGUUAGAAAACUAUAAAGUAUGUCCGGUGGGCUAAAUUACAUUUUAGAGCCCAAAAUGAAUUUAUAAUAUUGUAUAUAGGUUCGUUAUUUCGUUGUUUUCAUAGUGUAAAAUUACGCAUCUCAAGUUUACUAGCUCGACUCAAUUAAUAAGGUUGUUAGUCAACGUCGUUUCUAAUCAAGUUCAUUUUAGUUUUAGUUUUCAUAAUGUCAGUAACGUUAUUGAACAAAAACCUAAUCUCGGACUUAUGAGUCAGGUUUUAACCCUCAUUUGUACUAUCAUUAAUGUAGUAAUACAAAUGUAUGUAUCACUAACAUGUUGACAUAGAAUAAUUUGUGGAGAAACUAAAAUAAAUAGAACAACUUGAUAUUGAAAUUGUUAGGUAUUUUGAUGCCAAAUAAACUCGGGGUGAUGAUGACUCCUCGAAUAGGAUUAAAAUCAUGUGAUUCAUUUGGAAUCUAUUAUUAAGACUAUAGUUAAUAGUCGACCCGAAACACAAACUGAACGCCCACGAAAGAGGUUGCAAGGAGUAUUACAUUUAGGGCCUGACCCUGUGCCCCCUCCCACCGCUUCCCUUGCCGUUGUGACAUGAACAGAUAUUACACACAAUUUAACCUUCGAGCCCCAUUUUAAGAGAAACUUACGGCUACUUCCUUGUGAUCCAUCUUCUUCUCUCCAUUUUUGGAUCACCAUUACCUACCUUGUGGUUGGCACUUUGGCCGUUGUGUUAGGUGUAAUAAAAAAUGUAGCAAUAUAGAACAAAAGUGAACAAGAAGAUGAAUACAAACGAAAGAAAACUUGAACAUGAAAAUAAUGUCGUUGUCCUUAAAUGAUAUUUGCCUCCUUCAUAAUGCUCUUAAGGAUUAAAAUGGCAAAUUGUUUGUAGGAUUAAUCAAGCCUCAAGAAGAACACUAAAAGCAAAGUAUUCUUCAAAUGAACAAGUGAAAAAGAAGAAUUUGAUUAUGUAGAGGUACAAAAUUUCAUAUAAAAUUGGAUGAAUAGUAGAGUAAGUUUUUCAUGUAUUUUUGGAAUAAACACAAUAUAUAUUUAUAGAUUUUUAUCAUCCUUACACGAAAAGGUUCCAACUCAAAUGAAUAGGUACAUGGAUUCACCAAGAAAACUACCAGAAAUUCGAAAAAAAAUUCCAGCCAAUGAUCAUAUUUUUCAACUAUGCGACCACAUAGGCUAUAGCUAUCCGAUCGCAUAGUUAUAGCUUUGGCCACCUCCAAUAUUUCUACAAUACCACAUGGGACCACAACCUUUAGAUGCUUAUGCGGUCGCUUAGACCAUUUUGUGGCCUAUUUGUUUUUUCUUUUCUAAAUUCAUCCACUCAUUUGAUAUUUUGAAUAACCAAUUUACGACAAUCUCCCACUUGUUCAAAAUCACUAUAAAUCACAUAAUCAAGUAUCAAUGCUCAUGCAUAAGUAUUAGAUGUCUUUCGAUUUGAAUCUAACCAUAGUGUAAAUCUCUUAAAGCAUUAUCAAAAUUCCAAGUACCUAUAACGCUUUGAACCAGUUUUUCUUGUGACAAUAACGAUGAAAUCACACUCACAAAUGUUAAAAUUUUCACAAGUUCCUCUAACUUACUUAGUGUUAAUAUGACCUUGCACUUUUCCUUUUUCAUUGAACCUUUAAAGAGAAAAAAAUUUCAAUUCUCUAAUGAGUCGGCAUCACCUUGAAGUUCACAUAGUUGUAUCUUUGUUACUUUUAAAGAUACUUUGUACCAUCCAUCCAACAGUAACAACCAAUACUAUUUACCAAAGAUAGGGUUUAACAAUUUAAAAGUGUUGAAAUCUAUCCACUUAUCAAAUGAUUUGUUAUUACCCCUUGAACCUAAAUAUACUUAUUUAGUAUACUUUUGCUAGGGUUGCUAUCAUUGGUGGACCUAUUUAAGGAGUUUCAACCCAUCCUGCUUGAUGUCAAUCUUACUAAUUCUCUCGUGAGAUGUUUAGUAAAUGGGUAAGCUAAGUUCUCACUAGACUAAACAUAUGUAAAAGAAACUAUUCCAUGAUUGAUUGAUUUCCUUACAUACUCGUGUCUUAGACUCAUAUGUCUAGACGUUCCAUUAUACACUUCGUUAUAUGUUUGAGCAAAAGUAGGUUGACUAGCACACAAAAUAGGUAUUAAAGAAAUAUCUUUUAUAUCUAAAGGAAUUUCAUAUAACAGAUCUCUUAGCCACUCACCUUCUUUUCCAGUUUUGGCCAGUGCUACAAAUUCUGACUCCAUGUUGAGAGAGUACUGCAAGUUUGUUUCUUAGACAUCCAAGAAACUACACCUCCUCGAAGAGUAAAUAUGUAAUACCCCCAAAUCUAGAUACCUAGAUUUUGAAGUAUUAUCAUUUCAUUUCCUCUUAAAACCAUAAAAGUGGAGGCGAUUAAAUUUUUUCUUUAAUACGAUGAACAUCAUUGACUUCAUUUAUAAACAUAACUUGUAAAAAACUUUUGUACUUAAAUAAAAAAAUAAGAUUAAAUGUUAAUUUUACUUUCUAAAAGAAGUCAACAUUAAAUGUCUUAAUACUGAAUUUAUCACAAAUAGUCAUCUCGAAUCAUCUUGUCUUCAUCAUCUGAAGAUGGAGAGGGAUUACGUGGGAUGAGCUAAAGCUCAGUAAGAACACCUCAUGUAUAUGAUUACACAUGAAUUACUUUAAGAUAAAAACAUUUUUCAAUAUGUAUCCCUUAUUUUCACUACUUUAAAAACUUGACAUUUUGAGCUCACUUGGUGUAUCGCCUAGCGAAACAAAAUGCAGUGGAUAAUUAUUAUUUGGAACCCGGUCGAGUCCUACCGGUAGUACCGUAAAGUGGUUAAAAUUAAUAUUGUCGUAGAACAUCGAUUGGGUGCGCGGGUCCCCUACGUCCCAUUUCCCACUCACACUUUUUAUGACAUAAACAUACACCUCGUAAUAAAAAUCUUAGGAAUAUAUAUCUUUAAAAAACAUUCAUUGACUCAUGACAUUUGAAAACUUUUUGUUCCUUGAAAUUUCAUGUAUGUUUAUGGAUAUAUUGACGUACAUGAAUAUGUCAUGAAAAACAUUAAUAACAUAAAAGGUAAUAAUCAAAUAUCAAGAUCACGUAAUAACAGAUUUUGGUAACAUAUAUAUAUAUAUAUAUUUAAUAAUGUAACGUGGGCAUGAAGCUUAUGGGAGGUUUACUUACCUGAAAUCCUUAACAAUUUACUUUUAGCAUACAAGAAAUGGAUGUUUGUAGCAGUCCACAAGAAGAACUUGCUGAAGAGUCAUAAAUCAAUACCAUUUAAUAAGAAAUUUUUAGAUACUUAAUGUUUAUAACUUUAUAGACAUCUCCUUAGAUAUCAAUACCCUAAUUUUUUUUUACAUAUUUAUUUAUAACUCGUAGAUAUACAAUUACAUAUGUAACAAUACAUUACAUAGACGAUUUUAAAUGGGAGCAAGCAAUAAACAUUGUGGUGUGCAAGUUGUGAAAAUAAGACUACAUGCCAAGGUUCAUUUACUUCAUUAUUUCACACUAACCAUAUAAUAAAUAGCAAUAAAUUAUGAAUAUAAACUAUUAAUUAUUCUAGAUGUAAACACAUAUAAACCAGAAUGUCUCCAUGUUCUAACUAUUAUUAAUAGAUAAUUUGUAUAAAUCUCAGCUUAUAAAUUCAUAACAUUUGAAUCUCAACAAUUUUCAGCAAAGCGUGUACAUAUUCACGUGGAUUCAUUUUUAUAUGAUUUUAUAAGGGAGAUUUAUAAAAUUAUCUAUUAAUAAUAGUUAAGACAUGGAGACAUUCUGGUUUAUAUGUGUUUACAUAAUCUUCUAGAAUAAUUAAUUGUUUGUAUUCAUAAUUUAUUGAUAUUUAUUAUAUGGUUAGUGUGAAAUGAUGAAGUAAACAAACCUUAGCACGUAACCUUAUUUUCACAACUUGCACGCCACAAUGUUUAUUGCGUGCCCCCUUUAAAAUUGUCUAUGAAAUAUAUUGUUAAAUAUGUAAUUGUAUAUCUACGAGUUAUAAAUAAAUAUAUUAAAAAAUAAGGGUAUCGAUCUUUAAGGAUAUGUCUAUAUGGUUAUACAAAUUAAGUAUGUCAGAAAUUUCUUAUUAAAUGGUAAUGAUUUAGGACUCUUCAGCAAGUUCAUUUUGUGCAUUGCUACAAACAUUUGCCUUGUAGGCUAAAAGUAAAUUGUUAAGGAUUUCAUGUAACUAAACAUCCCAUAAUCUUCAUGCGCACAUUACAUUGUUAAAUAUGUAUAUAUGUUACCAAAAUUUGUUAUUACGUGAUCUUGAUAUUUGACUAUUACGUUUUAUAUUUGUUAGGUUUUGAGUUGGCAAUCAAAUUGUAAAUGUUAAAAAAUUAAGGGUUAAAUUGUCAAUAUUUAAAUGUCAUGGGUCAAUUUUUUUGUAAAAGUAUGUUAGGGUUUGAGUUUGGGAAAAAGGGAAGAAGUGUCAUCAAAGUUUCGCUAGCUUCUCGCCAAGAGAUUGUUCGAGCGUAAAAAACAGAGACCUCGUCGCCAGCUCAUCGCCCUUGGCCUACUCAAGUGGAACAACGUCACUUGCUUUUUGCUAGAGUUUUGCUGGGGCGAUAGGUUUAUUUGGAGAAACCCUAUUUUGUGAUUUUCGAAAUUUUUCCUCGACCCACACUACCCAAAAUGUGUCCUAUAUAUUCGAUUGAGCCGUAUUCGUCCAUUCUUAGAGGAUUGAUCUUGAAGAACACAUCCUACUCUUUUUUUACAUUAACUCAAUCCCACUAUCUUAUUGGUGCACUCACUCAAAAACAUCAAAUCCACAUCCAUCAAACACCAAAACCUGUCCUUCUAGAGAAUUUGUUAGAGUUGAAGAUCAGGAAGGAGAUAGAAGUUAUGUUCUUUGAAGAACGGGGAGUUCUUAGAAAUUCACUAAAGAUAGAUGAAACCAAGAGCCGAGAGUUGGUGCAAGAGCACGAAUUCUAGGAGGGUUUUAGGGAAUUAUAGUCAAGAGGUUAGGAUAAAUGAGUGUUGUUUGAGUUUGGCAGACUGUAAGUUGAUUUUUCAGUUAGAGUGGAUUCAUACUGUCUUGGGCCUAGAGUUUUUAAUCCUGCAAGGGGUUUUCUCCGUCAUCGAAUUGUUAUGCUCUUUAAGUUUCUACAAUUUACUAUUUUGCAGCAGUUUAGCAUAGGUCAGUAAUGCAUGUGAAUCAACUUGGACAAAAUUAAUAACUGUGACUUGUUGCAAUUAUUAAUCAGUCAUUUAAAAUUCUCCACAAACACCUAUUUACCUCGUCUCAAUGUUAAUUGGGUCAAACUAUGUUAUUUCAAGUGGUAUCAGAGCCAAACCUCGAGCCCUGGAACAUGUCGGCCUACUGCGCUUUCCAUUAAGGUUCAGGGCAUUUUACUGAUGAAAUCAGUGUAUGACGCGUUAUACUACUAGCUCCUUGGCUAGUGGGCGAGGGAUGAAGUAUAUUCGACGAAGCUAUUCUUUCAUUUAAUUGAUUGCAUUACAAUGAAAGACAAUCUCAUGGUUCCUUCUCCUCACGAAAUGGAUUUGAAGUUCUUUGCCUCGGGUCAACGAACAGGUAAGAAUAGCGCUUUAGGUCGUGAGUACGUUAUGCCCGUUAUCACUCAAGCAACUCUAGCUCAAAGUAGCUCAAGCAUAGCUCUUUCUAUGGCUCUAGACUAUUCUGAGCUUGUAAACCAUAGGAGCCGAAAAUAGUUCCUCUAAUGAAGGAUCUUUCUGCGUUCAAUCACAUCUUACGCUUCGAGCAGGACCAUGCAUUUUGUUCCAAAUUGUUGUCUAGAUUAGUCAAUCUUUGUCUGUGCUUCCUUAUUUUGACAAGAGUAGUUAUACCUACUGGAAAGUUAGGAUGCGUGCAUUUCUUAAGUCCCUAGAUGAACCCGUUUAGGCUAGUGUACAAAAUGGUUAGAAGGCCCCAUCCACUACUGGGUCUGGUGUAGUCAUUCCCACUGACAUUUCACUUUUGACUAAGGAAAAAUUAGCUGACUGUAACUGGAAUAACAAAGGACUCUAUACAUUGUUUAUGGCUAUAUCUCCCGAAAAGUUUAGGAGAGUGUCAAUGUAUGAAACUGCUAAAGAGGUAUGGGAUAUUCUAGAGACUACACAUGAGGAAAUUAAAACUAUGAAUAAUUCCAAAUUGUAAAUGUAAACUUCUAGGUUUGAAGAAAUUGAGAUGAAGGAAAAUGAAUCGUUUGAUGAAUUUUACACAAAAUUGAAUGAUAUAGUGAACUCUAGCUUCAACCUAGGUGAGAGGAUUCCCAAGUCCAAAAAUGUUAGAAAGGUCCUUAGGUCUUUACCCGAGAGAUUUAGACCCAAAGUUACAGCAAUAGAAGAAAGCAAGGAUCUAGACACGGUUAAGAUAGAAGAACUUGUAGGAUUCCUUUAAACUUAUGAGCUCACUAUUUCAUAGCUGAAGAAAAAUAAGCCCAUAAUAUUGAAUACUAUUAAGGAAGAGGAGUCUGAAUCAUCUGACAUGGAGACCCUUAGGGAUGAAGAGAUAGCAUACUUUGUGAAAAAAUUCUAGAAAGCUCUAAAGAAUAAGAAAAGGCCUCAAAAGAGAAAAAAUGGAGGUCCUAGUAAAUUCCAGAAUGAUAAGAGUGAUAAACCAAAUGCUAGGAACUCUAGUAAGAAAUCUCAACUUGUUAGAUAACAUGAGUGUCAAGGGUUUGGACACUAUAGGAAUGAAUGCCCUAGUUUUAAGAAAAUUUUGAAAAAGGCAAGGAGUAAGGCAUUACUGUGUCAUAGACAGAUGGUGAAAUAAACUCAAGUGAUCAGGGUGACUCCUUUGGUAGUGAAGAUAAAAGGGUUAUAUUGCUUUCGUCUCUACAGUUAAGAGUGGGUCGGAUAAGGAGAGUGACAAGGUUGAAGAAGAUAUACAAGAUGAAAAUUAUAAGAUACUGAGGAUGAGACUGAUAUUCAUGAGGCUUACCAACUUCUGUUUAAGGAAAAUCUUAAGAUCAAGAAGAUACAUAAAGCCCUAUUUAAGAAGGUGAACGCUAUUGAGAGAGAGAAAGAGAGGCUCACAAGUGAUCUACAGGACUCGUCCAAAAGCCUUAAUGAGCUAAGAUAUGUCAAUGAAAAGCUGGAAGACAAGGUUAAGACUUUGACUAGUGACUUAGAGAAAUCAAAUAUUCACUCAACUCCAGUCAUUUAUAAGUGGGACUAAGAAACUAAAUGAUCUGUUAGGAAUGAAUAAAUCAGCUGGAAAUAGGCAAGGUUUAGGAUUUGUUAAGAGUGAUAGUAACAUGGCCAGUUUAUCCAAGACCACAUUCGUCCCUGCCUCCAACAAAUCUAGUAAUAUGGCUAAUUCGGAACCCAAAGGGAAAAGUGUCUCGGAAUAAAAGAUCACUAGAGCAUGUAAGAUCCCCCCACCUAAAAAUUAAUAUCAACAAUCACGUGCCUGUGAGCCUAGGUUUAUACUAAGCGUGGAAAUAGGAAUAGAAAUCAGGAUAUCCCUAGUCAGGUUAGCUACCUUUUAGAUCAGGUCAGUCAUUUAGCUGAUAUGGUGACAAAAUUGACCAAGAUACCUUGACUUCUCGAAAAGUUUGGGUCAAGAAAAGUGAUUUGGCUAGGCAUGCUGAGAAUCUAAACUGCUUUGUAGCUCAUGUUGCAUUUAAGGCUCAAAAUACGUGUAUGUGGUAUCUCGAUAGUACUUGCUUGAGACACAUGUAUGGAAAUAAGGCUUUGUUCUCUAUCCUUGAUAUUUUAAUGGUGGUAUGGUUACCUUUGGAGACAGGGCUACAGUACCUAUCCUUGGUAAAUGUACCGUCAACAUAUCUAGACUACUGACUAUAUCUAAUGUGCUUUAUAAAGAUAGUCUAAAGUCCAAUUUGUUAAGCAUAAGUCAAAUAUGUGAUGCUGAUUAUGAAGUGAGUUUUGUCCAAGAGAGGUAUACUGUUUAUGACCCUUUGGGUAGAGUUGUCCUCGAAGGUGUUAAAACUUCUGAUAAUUGUUAUAGAGUUCUUCCCAAUUCCAAAUAUGUGUAUAGCAGUGCUAAAAUUGAUGCGAUUAAACUUUGGAUCAAAGACUAGGUCAUGUGAAUUAUAAAAGUUUGUCAAAAUUGGCAAAAAGGAAAAUGUUAAUGGUUUGCCUAAAAUUGAACAACAAGAAAUUCUAUGUGUAAGCCUUGUAAGCAAGGGAAAUAAAUUUGGAUAAAUCACAAACAAACUUCUAAAAUUUUGACAAACAGAACCUUAGAACUUCUCCAUAUGGACUUAAUGGAACCAUCUAGGACUGAAAGCCUAGGAGGUAAGCACUAUAUUAUUGUUGUGUUGUAUGAUAAGAAAAAAAUUUGAAGCAUUUGAUCUUGUUAAAUCCCUGUGUAAAAAGCAUAAGACUGAACAAAAUCUUUCCAUAUCUAGAAUUCGAAGUGAUCAUGGAAAAGCAUUUGAAAACUCCAACUUUGAAAACUUGUGUUUGGAGGAGAAAAUUCAGCAUGAGUUCUCCUCACCAAUCACUUCACAACAAAAUGGGAUAGUUGAAAGGAAAAAUAGAGUGCUCCAAGAAAUGGCUAGAGUCAUGCUUAACGACAGGGAUCUUGCAAUGCAUUUCUAGGGUGAAGCAAUCAACAUUGCAUGCCACAUAGUGAACAAAGUAUACCUCAGAUCGAAAAUCGAUAAGACUCUAUAUGAGAUUUGGAAGGGUAAGAAGCCUAUUGUCAAAUACUUUCAUAUGUUUGGCAGCAAGGGUUACAUUAUGCGGGAUAGAGAAAAUUUAGGUAAGUUUGAUUUCAAUAAUGAUAAAAGGAAUUCUUUUGGGAUAUUCUAAGAAUAGUAGAGACUACAGAGUAUACAAUUCGCAUACUCAAAGUGUCAUGGAGUUCAUAAAUAUUUUGAAUGGUGAUGCUUUUACUGAGGGAGAAGGUGGAAAAUUUAGUUGGUUUAGAAAAUCUAAGUGAUGAUCAAUGAACAACUAUUGAACCUAAAAAACAUCCAAUAUCUAACUCUCCGUGCUUUCCUAAAGACAUAGACACUUCAGAUAAGAAUCAACCAAUUGGUGACAAAUCUUAGCCUACUAGAGAACCAUCAUCCAGGGUUAAAUCAAAUCAUCCUAAAGUCAAUAUCAUUGGAGAUCUAGAUGAAGGUAUGAGGUUACAUAAAAGGGUUCUAAUUAAUCUAACAUACACAAGCUAUGUACCCCAGAUUGAGUCCAAGAAAGUAGAGGAAGCCCUUAGAGAUGAAUGUUGGAUAAAUGCAAUGUAUGAGGAGCUUAAUCAAUUUGUCAAGAACAAUGUGUGGGUUUUAGUUUGUAGGCCCGAUGAUUGCAAUGUUAUAGGUACUAACUAGAUAUUCAAGAAUAAGACCAAUGACCAAAGUACCAUAACCAGAAACAAGGCUAGGCUAGCCAGGGGUAUACUCAAGUUGAAAGUGUCGACUUUGAUUAGACAUUCGCCCCUAUCGCAUGUCUUAAGUCCAUUCGCAUCUUCCUUGUUGUUGCUUGUACCUUAGGGUUCAAGCUUUAUCAAAUGGAUGUUAAGAAUGCUUUCUUGAAUAGAAUACUUCAAGAAGAAGCAUGUGUUGAACAGCCCAAGGGUUUAUCGACCCUACAUUUUCUCAUUAUGUCUAUAAACUGAAUAAAGUCUUGUAUGGUCUGAAAAAAACUCCUAGAGCUUGGUAUGAUAGACUCACUGCAUACCUCGUUGAUCGUGGAUUUUCAAGAGGUAGUGGAAACAGAACUUUAAUCAUUAGGCAUAUUCAAGAAACCAUAACUAUAGCAUGGAUCUAUGUCGAUGACAUCAUUUAUGGCUCUCCUGUAGACUCUUUUGCUUAUGAAUUCACUGAAUGCAUGAAAUAAGAAUUUGAAAUGAGCAAGGUUGGAGAGCCGAGCUACUUCCUUGGUCUUCAAGUAAAGCAAAUAGAUGAUGUCUUGUUCAUUUCUCAAUCAAAAUAUUCAAAUGAUCUUGUCAAGAGGUUAGGGCUAGGUAGGAAAAAGCACACAAGGACAUCCAUGAGCACAAGUGCUAAGUUAGAUCACGGUUCUAAAGGUAAAAGUGUUGAUCAAACACUGUCUAGGAAUAUGAUAGGUAGUUUACUCUAUCCUACUGCUGGUAGACUUGACAUAGCAUUCAAUGUUAGAAUGUGUGCAAGAUAUCAGGCAGACCCUAAAAAACCCAUUUGAGUACAGUGAGGUAUAUCAUUAGGUAUGCAAAUGGAACCAUAGAUCAUGGAAUCUUAUAUUCUAGAGACUCCAAACUUGAUCAUGCCAACUACUCCGAUGCCGAUUGUUGGCUGGAAAUUCUGAUGAUAGAAAGAGUGCCUCGGGUGGCUGUUUCUAUAUUGGUUCUAAUCUUGUGUCAUGAAUGAGUAAGAAACAAAACUUCAUCUCUUUGUCCACGGUCGAGGCUGAAUACAUUGUGGCCAGUAGUUGUUACACUCAGCUGCUUUGGAUGAAGCAAAUGUUGAGUGAUUAUGGGAUAAAUUAGGUAUACCAUGACUGUGUUUCAUGAUAACACUAGCACUAUUAACAUCUCUGAAAACCCUAUUCAACAUUCUAGGACAAACAUAUUGACAUUCGUCAUCACUACAUUCGAGAACUUGUUGAAUCCAAUGUGGUAUCCUUAGAGCACAUUUCUAUAGAAAAUUAGCUUGUCGAUCUGUUUACUAAACCUUUAGACGGUCUGAGGUUCGAGUCACUUAGAAAGUCUGUCGGUAUCUAUGUACCUUAUUGACCAUCUUCAUAGGGACAUCCAUGUACAACUCAUUUACUUGUCUGUUUUUGCAUUUAUUUCAUUGCAUAUUCAUUUUGAUUUGCAUUUGCCCUCUCUUCAUGCAUUUUUAAUUUCAUCAUAUAAAAUAAAAAAUUUAGUCACUGCAGAAUCGUAUUUGUUUUACUUAAACUUGCAUCUUUUGAUCAGAUAUACAUUCAAUAAAUGAUUAGCUUCAUAUUCAUAUCACUUGAAUUUAGUCUAUGCGGCGUACUUAGUAUAUGUCUCUUCAUACUUUGUCUGUACAUCACACACUAUGACCUUGUAAGUGAAUCUUGACCGCAUAUGUGAGAUUUGGGAUGACUGUCAUCUGGUGAUGAGGUGAUCGUAAUCGUGAAUUGAUCUUUGACUAGGCGAUCUAAAUUCUGCUGGUUCCUUCCAACAAAAGUUAAAAAUAUUGUUGAGUUAUAUCUUAUACCCAUCUUCGUAGCAUAGUUGACUCGAGCAAUUAAGUUUAAGGAGUUUAUAAUGCUCCAAAGCUAACUGGCUUGGGAGUCACCGAACCAAAGCUCGUUACAAGGAUCUUCUUAGUAACUUAAUGGAGAUGGGCUUGCACUUAAGAUUAAAAAAAAAAAAUUUUGGUUAUAGACAGGGGAAGAAAGAAAAUUACACACCACACAUUCAUUGAAUUAUAGGUCCCAGUGGCGCUAGAUUUGACUUUCACAAUUCUGGGAGAUAAAUUCAUUCAGCAGUGAAUUAGCAUGUCCCUUCUCACAAAUUUAAGAUUUUGAGUCUUGUUUCCAUGGAAUUAGUGGCACUUUUACAUAUGGGUGGGACAGCAUUUCUAGUCCCUGAGCAUGUCAUAUUUGUGAUAUGUGUUAGGGCACGUAUCAUAUUUAAUGAAAAAAUAUUGGUGCAAAAAUGAAAAUUUUCAAAGUAAUGCUAAAAUUCUGCAUUUUCUAAGUGUUGCUAAAAUUCUAUAUUUUCAUGAUGUGGUGCUAUUUCUAUCAAUUUCCUAUCGCUCGAUUAUUGUUGACCUCUUGCUCGAGUGAUAAUAACAAAAUUUAUGUCACUCGCUUCUCACUCGAAGCUCACUUGAGCGACAUUUAAGUUUGAAAUACACUUCGUCACCUCAUUUUCCCAUUUUUCUUCAAAUUUUCAUUGUUUUCUCUUCGAGCACACACUAUAUUCUUGCAAAAUCUGAAAUUUUGGAUAGGUCUUCAUCACUGAUUGCAUACAUUACAUAUGGUUAAAACCAUACAUUUUACCAUUUUGAUAUCUUUUGGGGUUUUGUCGAUUUCGCUUCGAUAAGCCACAAUUUCUUGAAUCUAAAUUAUUCCAUUGUGCAUCUUGAGUGUCGCAUUGCAUCGUUAUGGCUCAAGUUUGCAUUUUUUAUGGCAUUUUUCCCAUUCUUCUAUUGUUUUUUUCCCACAUUUUUGACACUUUUAUCUCGAAUUUUUUCUUCUCAGCGGUGCAUUUUUAUGACAUAGGAUUGUUGUGAUGAUGUUUGAGUACUAUUUGGUAAGUUGUGGGGUAUUGGGACUGUAAGUGUUGUGUGUUUUUUCACCUUUUACAUGUGUAUGCCACACGUUCGACAAAUUGCCUCUUCACUGAAUUGACUCGCUACCUAGGCUACUUUUACCUACUAUAUUCAUAAUCUAAGUCCCAAUCAUUUUUGGUUCUUUGUGUCUCUUGGUUGACGUCCCGUUCUUAUGAUUUCGCGUCUAGAUCAUGUCAUAUGUAACUGCGCCUUACGCUUUGCCACCAUCUCACCUCCGUCUUGACACUAAGUCCCUAACGUCUUGGCACCAUGUCACUUAGUUCUUGACAUUGCACACUUAUUGCAUAGUUUUGCGUUUUACUAUUUUUCAUUGGGUUUUAUGCUUUUCUCUAUGAUGCAUUAUUUUCCGUGCUUUUCGCAAGUUUUUGUAUCAUUUUGCACGUUUUUCCUAUUUUGCAUCAUUUAGAGUCUUCUUCAUGCUUUCGUAUAGCUUUGGGUGAUUUUUACAUAGAAGCACGUACAUCCAUGCAUAUCUCAUUUUAGGUGGUCUACGAGUCUUAACAUCUUGGUAAUAUUCUAUAUUUCAGCUGGCACCUAAGAGGGCACGAUCCGCUGCUCAGUCUAUUAGUGGGUCGACUUCGUAUAAUCGGUCUAGGUUUAUUUCUUCCACUGCUCAGGAUAUGUUUGGGACUCAGUUCUCAUUACGUCCGUUCUAGUUGAGCAUGAGGUCAGUCUUUCUAACCUUCCACCUGACCUAACAGCCAUAUUUACCUUUAGGGUUUGGGAGUCUUUAUUAGUUGGAUUGUACGCCCCGCUUAGUCUCCUAGUCCAGGAGUUCAAUGUGAAUAUUCAUGAUGUUAACGGGUCAUCUUUUAAGGCCUUCCUUCGAGGUCAGUCGAUUAAGAUCACACCUGACAUUGUUUCGAGCACUAUUCAUAGUCCACGUGUCAUUUAAUCAUUUUUUCCAUACUUGUCGGUCAACCCUAUUCCGAUCGAUUCCUUGGUUAAGUUGAGUUUUUUUAAUAGUCCAUUAGGAGGUGGACCACACAUGAUUCACAUUGGAUCACUUUCUAUUGAUUGACAAAUUUUAUUGCGCAUUAUGUGCACAAAUCUGUUUCCAGUUUCUCGUACUUCUUCAUUGCUUAUGGAAAAGACAAGAUUUUCCUAUGUCCUUCUGCAUGGUGAUUCUAUUAACCUGCCCACUUUCAUUUGUCAAAAUAUCUCUUGUAUAUUUAGUAGGAUAGGUCUCCAUAAUGCGUGCUUAAUAACCGUUUGGUGACAUCCCUGAGGCUUCAUUUCCUGAUGGGGUCUUUCAUCGGGCUUUUCAUCCCAUUUGUCAUACUAUUUUUUCGCAGAGUAGAUCCCAUUUUCCUUCUUCUUUUGCUCCUGCAGAGCUUGUUGACCUAACAGUGCCUGCUGAUCUUAUCGGUGAUCUUUUCUCUUCUGAUUCCUCAUAUAUACCUCCGUCUCAUCUUGAUGUUCCUCCAUCCACUACUAAUAUUCCAUCAUCUUCUAUUUCGGUCGCUCCACACACUCGACCUUACUCAACUGCGGGCUAUUUCAGAGCGCCAUACUGCAAAGUUUUCUACAUUGAGAGGGGUUAUGGUAUAUGUGCAGCACGUGAUCCGGUGGAUGCUUAAGCACUGGGACUAUGACGAUGAUGAUGAGGAGGAUGACGGCGAUGGUGGUGGUUCAUAGUUGUUAGAGAUUCCCUUGUCAUUUGUGACAAAAACGAGAGUGGUUUUAUUGUAUAAUUUGACUUAUUUUUGGGAUUUGUGACUUUUGAUGAUUGACAUCGAACAUGAUUGUGUUAUGUUUGACAUUAUUUUUGCUAAAUUAAGAUUUGAUGUUUUGGAAUAUUAAUGUAUGUUUUUUUGGUGUUUUAACUUACAGUGAUAUUGUGUCUUAAUCUAGCAUUAUUCAUAUGAUAGUGUGCUUGCUGAUGACUAUCUAUCUUUACUACCUUUACUUAUAUUAUUGUUUUUUGUGAGUUGUAAUUUUAGGAAGCAAGCCUAAUGAAGACAGAGCAACAGUCAGUACAGUCAUUGUUUUGCAUAGUCAUUGUGGUCAUUGUUGAUGUAAUAUAUUUUUUGUCACUUUUUCACGCCUUGGACUAACUCUUCGGCUGUUUGAACUACUACUAUCAGGCAAGCAACAACUACAUUUCCUAAUUCAGAAUGUCAAAGGGGGAGUUUGUUAGGUUUUAAGUUGACAAUUCUUUGAACAAAAGGGUCAAAUUAUAGAUGUUCAAAAAUUAAAGGUCAAAUUGUCAAUGUUUAAAAGUCAGGGGUCAAUUUGUACAUGUUUAAAAAUUAGUGACUAUGUUGUAAUUUUGUAAAAGUAUGUUAGGGUUUGAGUUUGGAAAAAAGAGAAUAAGUGUCGUCAAAGUUUCAUUAGCUGAGCGCAGGAGAUUGCUUGUGUGUAAAAAACAGAGACCUCAUCUCUAGCUCAUUGCCCUUGUCCUGUUCGAGCAAAACAAUGUCACUUGCUUUUUGCUGCAGUUUUUAUUUUAUGAUUUUCGAGGUUUUGAACUGGCCCAUACUUCCCAAAAUGUGUCCUUUAUAAUUGAGUGCACCGUAUUUGUCCAUCUUUAGAGGAUUGAUCUUGAAAAACACAUCCUACACUUUGUUACAUUGAUUCAAUCCCACUAUCUUGUUGGUGCUCUCACUCAAAAACACCAAAUCCACAUCCAUCAAACACCAAAACCUGUCCUUUUAGAGCAUUUAUCAAAAGUGGAAGAUCAGGAAAGGAGAUUGGAGUUCUGUUUGUUGAAGAAUGGGGAGCUCUCGAGUAUUCACAGAAGAUAAAUGAAAUCAAAAGCUGGGAAUUGGUGCAGGAGCACGCAUUCCAUGAGGGUUUUGGGGAAUUACAGUCAAGAGGUCAGGAAAAAGAAUGUUGUUUGAGUCUGGUAGACUCUAAGUUGAUAUUUCGUUUUUAGUAUCUUCAUAUUGGCUUUGGCCCGAAGUUUUUAAUCCCUCAAGGAGUUUUCUCCGUCAUCAAAUUGUUGUGCUUUUUAAGUUUCUACAAUUUACUAUUUUGUGACAGUUCAACAUAGACUAGUAAUGCAUGUGAAUCAAUCUGGACAAAAUUAAUAACUUUGACUUGUUGCAAUUAUUAAUCAAUUGUUAAAAAUUCUGGCACAAACACCUAUUUACCCUCUCUCUAAGUGUUAAUUGGGUCAAACUAUAUUAUUUCAAUGUUAUUAAUGCUUUUCAUUACAUAUUUGUGCACGUUAAUACAUCCAUAAACAUACAUGAAAUUUCAAGGAAUAAAAAGUUUUCAAAUGUCAUGAGUCAAUGAAUGUUUUUAAACGAUAUCUAUUCCUAAGGUUUUUAUUACGUGGUGCAUGUCUAUGUCAUGAAAGAUGUGAGUGAAAAAUGGGGUGUGGGGGAUCGAUGCACCCAAUGAAUGUUCAAUGUUCUAUGACAGUAUUAUUGUUAACCUCUUUGUGGUACUAACGGUAGGACUCGACCGGAUUCUAAAUAAUAAUUGUCCACUGUAUUCUGAUUGGCUAGGCAAUGCACCAAGUGAGUUCACAAUAUCAAUGUUAUGUUUUUAGAGAAAUGAAAAGAAGGGGAUACAUAUUGAGAAAUGCCUUUUUAUUUUAAGUAAUUCAUAUGCAUAUCAUAAGCAUGCAUCAUCCGCAUGAAGUCUUGUUACUGAGAGUUAUCUCAUCCCACAUUAUUCAUCCCCAUUUUUAGAUGACGAAGGCAAGAUAAUUCGAUACGACUACUUGUGGUGAGAUGGACUUGGUACUAAUACAUUUAGUGCAGAUCAAGUUGAAAUAAGUUUAACAUUUAAUUUGAUUAUCUUAUAUUUUUAUUAAAUAUAAAUUUUUUUGAAAUCCUUUCCUUAAAUGAAAGUCGUUAAUAUUUUUAUGUUAAAGAAAAAUUUAUAAUCAGUUUCCACAUUAUGGUUUGAAGGGAAAUUAAAUGAUAAUACUUCUACAUCUAGGUAUCUGGAUUUGGGGUGUUACAAAAUACCCAAACUAAAGUGGAAUUUUCUCUCCCACAGUUGAUAUCCAAUUGGUGUCAGUUUAUCUUUCCAAGAUUUUAAGGAACCAUGUGUAUUGUAGUCCAAGGUUUUUAGUUUUCUUUAAGUAACCAAAAACCCUCUCGAUAGCCUUCCAAUGUUCGAAAAUCGAAUUGCUAGUAAACCUACUUAGGUUAUUCAUAGCAAAUGCAACAUCAUGUCUUGUACAUUGUGUCGCAUCCAUUAGACUUCCAGUUGCACUUGCAUAUUCUAGCUAUUGCUCCUCCAUCAUUUUUUAUCAGCUUGAUACUUAGAUCCAAAGAGUAUUAGCCUCCUUGACGUUCAAUUGUUUGAACUUAUUUAUUACAUUUUAACUUUGAUAUCAAUGAUAUUAUCCACUUGUCCAAGAUCUUUUAUUUUGAAUGUGGAGGAUAGAAACCUCUUCGUUUCUUUGAUCCCAUCUAUAUUGUUACUGGUGACCAACAUAUCAUCAACAUAUAGACAUUAAAGUAAUUAGACUAUUAUUUACUUUAGUGUAAAGACAAAAUAUCUACCGAAUUAUGAUUAAAAUCAUUUGACAUUAUUAUAGAGUCAAAUUUCUCAUGCCACUUAUUAGGAGCUUGUUUCAAUCCAUAUAAAGAUUUGAUUAGUUUGCACACUUUAUGUUCAUUUUUUGGUAGAACGAACUCUUCUGGUUAAAUCAUAUAGACCUCUUCUUUGAGAUCUCCAUUUAGGAAUGCCUUCUUGACAUCCAUUUGAUGAACACAUAAAUCAUAAAUUGAUGCUAGUGCAAACAGGUUCCUUAUCAAUGUUAUCCUAGCCAUAGGUGCAUAUGUGUUAAAGUAAUAUAUUCCUUCCUUUUGACAAUACCCUUUAGCUGCUAUUCUAGCAUUGUAGGUAUUAAGCGUUCCAUCAGAAUUGUACUUUUUUCUAAAUACCCACUUGCAACAAAUAGCUUUCGAACCAUUUCAUAAGUCAGCUAUUUCCCAAGUAUUAUUUGAAAUAAUGGAAUUCAUUUCAUUAUUUAUCGCUUCUUUUCAAAAUAUACAAUCUCUAGAUGAUAUUGCUUCCUUAUAGGUUUUAGGAUCACUUUUCAUUUGAAGAACAAUAGGUAUUGUUCUUACAACCUCCUUCCUAUCUCUCUCUACUACGUAAAAAUAAAUAAGUUGAAAAUCUAUUCCAUCCGAUCCUAAACCUUUUUCUUUUCGAAUUUUCUUACUAUUUCGAGGUUCACUUUCAACAUUUCUAAUAGCUCUCUAGAAUUUGGAAUAACAUCAUUAUUUUGAGGUUUUUACUAAUAGAAAAUUUCUUCUCCCUUGAUUCUAUUAUAACAUCUGAUUCAAGGUUUAAUAACCUAUAAGCCAUGCUAUUAAGAACAUAUCAUACAAAGGCACAUUUAAUAUCACUAUGACCUAAUUUAGUUCUCUUAUGAUCCGUAUUUUUAUAAUAAGCAAGGCACCCGUACACUCUGAAAUAAUUAAUAUUUGGUUUUCUACCUUUCCAUAUUUCAUAUGGGAAGAUCUUAUUAUUUUUCAUAGGAACGCUAUUUAGUAUAUGUCAAACACUAAGUAAAACUUCACCCCAUAGAUUAAAAUGUAAUUCAGAAUUCAAUAACAUGGCAUUUAUCAUCUAUAAGAAUGCCUUAUUCUUUCUUCAAACCAUUUUUUUUUGGAGUUCGUGGUGCUGAAUAUUGAUGCAUUAUUCAAUUUUGUUCACAUAACACAUUGAAUUCAUUAGAGAAAUAUUCUUCAUCUCUAUCACUUCUUCGAGUUUUAAGUUUUCUUCCUAAUUGAUUUUCUACUUCGAAUUUAUAAGUCUUAAAGGCACUAAAGGCUUCAUCCUUAUGCUUUAACAAAUAGAUAUAAGUAUAACUAGAGCAAUCAUCAAUGAAAGUAAUAAAAUAUCUAUUAUCACCUCUUGUUAGCAUGUCAUUCAAUUCACAUACGUCGAAAUGAACAAGUUCAAGUAGGUUUGUUGAUCUUACUGUACUACGAAAUGACUUUUUAAUUAUUUUUAAUUUAAUACAUGUUUCACAUUUUUCCAAGUUGUCAAAGUCACAUUGUAUCAACCCACAUUUGACCAUUCUUUUCAUAGUGCUAACUCCUAUGUGUGCUAAUCUACCAUGCCAUAAAUUGUAAGAAUCAACAACAUAGGCAAAUCAUUUAAUUUUAUUAGAAUUAUCCUCAAAAGUACAUAGUUUUACCAUUCCUUCAUCGGAAUAGCCCUUUCCAACAAAGUACCCAUUAUGGGUUGGUACAAGUUUUUCUGAUUCAAAAAUGGAUUUAAGUCCAAGUUUUCUCAAUAGAACUCCACUUGCUAAGUUUCUAUUCAUUUCUGGUACAUGAAGGACAUUUGUCAUAGUGACCUUCUUCCCAAAGUGAACAUGAUUUUCGAACUACCUUUGCCAAUCACUUGAGAUCUUCCUUCAUUUCCCAUUUGAAUUUCUUGAUCGUCUUGAAUGUCAUGAUAAGUUUUGAAAAAAGACAUAUCAUAACAAACAUGGAUUGUAACACUGUGUCAUACCACUGAUCUAGAACUUUCUCUUGGAUUGCAUUGAUUUCACUCACCAUAACGAUAAUCUCAUCAAUGAAAUUUCCUUGUCCUUCCUUCUUUCGUUGUUUUCUAUACUUGCAAUCUCUUGCAUAGUGUCCUAAUUUUCCAUAAACAUAGCAAGGUCAUUUGGAUUUGUUUUUGAACUUUCCUCAAUUCUUUUUAGGAGCAAGAGGUUUCCUUUUUGUUUUGUAUUUUUUGGAAUUGUCCAAACUGUCCAUGGCAUGGGUUUUCGAAGAGCCAUGUAGUCAUAUCUCUUGCCUUUGAUUCUUCCUCUAUGAGAAGUUGCUUUUGGACGUCUUCCAAAGAGAAGUCUUCAGAAUUGUGAAAAAUCUUCUUUCUAUAUCCUUUUCAAGACAUCGAGAAUUUAGUAAAAAUUGCUCCCACUUUGAAGGAUUUGAAAAGUUCAAUGUCACCACUUUCGAUUUGUUAACACUAAUUUACAAUUCGUGUAUUUGAGGCAACAAAUGAAUAUUAUCAAGCAUUUUGCAAUCAAAAUAUUUAGAAAUUAAAAUCUUCUUUGUACUUUCCUCCUCGGCCUUUUAUUUAUUUUCAAGUGCGUCCCAAAUUUCCUUUGCUGAAGUAGUAUUUGUGUAAGAUCAUAUAGCCAAUCCAAAAGGGCAUUUAGAAUGUGAUCGUGACAUAUCAAUUUGUUUUAUUCCCCUUUCUAUCAGCACGAACUUAUUCAAUAUUCUUUUUAUUGCAUUAGCGAUUGCCUCCAAAUUUAGAUCAAGCACGUAGAAGAUCUUUAAUGUUGUUAAUAGGAAUUUGAGUUUGUCUAGCUAUCUUGUGAAGUUAGAUCCAUCAAAUCUGUCCAAGCUCACCAAAUUUUGAUUCAUCAACAUGAUUGUAGCACGCGUAAAUUCUGUCUCCAUCGUAGUAAAUGAGGAUAUCGUUUGCGAAUGUUAUAAAAAAAUGCAGCAAUAUAGAACAAAAGAUGAAUAUAUACGGAAGAAAACUUGAACAUGAAAUAAUGUCAUUUUCCUCAAAUGAUAUUUGCCUCCUUCACAAUGCUUUUAAGGAUUAAAAUGAAAAAUAGUUUGUAGCAUUAAUCAAGCCUCAAGAAGAACGCCAAAAGCAAAUUAUUCUCCAAAUGAACAAGUGAAAAAGAAGAAUUUGAUUAUGUUGCGGGACAAAAAUUCAUACAAAGUUGGAUGAAUAGUAGAGUAAGUUUUCCAUGUAUUUCUGGGAUGAACACAACAUGUAUUUAUAGAUUUCUCUCAUCCCUACAUGAAAUGGUUCCAACUGAAAUGAAUGAGUACAUGAUUCAUCAAGAAAACUACCAGAAAUUCAAAAAAAAUUCCAGCCAAUAGUCAUAUUUUUCAACUAUGCGACCGCAUAGGCUAUAACUAUGCGAUCGAUUAGUUAUAGCUUUGGCUGCCUCCAAUAUUUCUGAACUACCACAUGCGACCGUAGGCCUUAGAUGCUUAUGCGUUCACAUAGGCCAUUGAUCUAAGCCCCGUCUAAUCCACUUUUGGUGCCAAUCAUUAUGAAAUCGAAAGGAAGGUGUUUGGUUUAAUCAAUUAAAGGUUGUGUUUAACUCCACAGAUAUUUUUCUCAAAUUCAUUUUUUACCAUAUAUUUGCGGGACAUACAACUUUUAAAUUGAAAUUUCAUUAAUUUUUAUAAAUCUCUCUCUCUCUCUCUCUCUCUCUCUCUCUAUAUAUAUAUAUAUAUAUAUAUAUAUAUAUAUAUAUAUAUAUAUAUAUACACACCANNNNNNNNNNNNNNNNNNNNNNNNNNNNNNNNNNNNNNNNNNNNNNNNNNNNNNNNNNNNNNNAUAUAUAGUCAAGCCAAACUAGGGCUUAAUUUCGUGGAUUCACAUAGAAUAUAUACGUAUUGACAAAAUUGGGAACAGCCAAAUGUUGUAACUCUCGUUUGAAUAGAAAAUCAUACGAAAGAAACCCUCACUACCAAAUGAUAAAAAUAGCACUACCUAAAUGAUUGUACCUAUAAGUAUUUAAAAAUAAAUAAAAACCAGUUGAUUGAAAACAAAAGGUUUAAAAAAUGAAUUAAACUAUUUGUAUGGUAGAGAUCCCCCUGUAUAAGUUACAAGUGCAGUGCUUCCAACACUUUACCUGUAAUAUGUAAAGGGGAUUUCCCCGGUACAUAUAACAUCACCCUUAGAAAAGGUAUGCGAGCUACAAGUGACUACACUCCUAGGUCAAUGUCAAGUUCAGACUUUAUAUGCGGCCUAAGAAGUGGUGCCUCGACCACCAAAUAUUACAAAAUGUAUUGAAAUUAGGUGGAUAGAUCAUACAAAAUAUAUAUAGGCAAAAAAUUGUUUGAUCAUCUUGAAUUAGAAUUUAAAUUUUGUAAAACAUGCAUUAACGUUUUAACAAAAAUGCGUAGUCAUGCAUUAUGAUAGGAACUCCAAAUUCUCUAGCAAAUACAGCUUUUUUGAUCAUUUCUUCGCAUGUACCUGCAGUGGAGUACAGAGAUCAAGGAAAAAGGCAUAUAUUGGAUGAUUUUUGUGCACUUGACUACUCUAGUCUGGCACGAUCUACUUGUAAAUGUUGAUUGAUUAAUGACAAGAUCUAUUUUGAAUUUGAAUUUACUGGUCUCGAACUUGGUUAAUUAGCCAAUUUUUAGAUCCUUGAUUGACAAUAACUAAUUUGUUAGAUGCUUAUAAUUCCACAACACUUGAAAUUACUUCUCAAAGGUGUAAGUAGAGAUUUGGUGGUUAUUUUUCAAAUUUUACUUUUUAACAAAUUCAAUUUUAAUCUUACAUUUUUAAUAAAAUAAUAUUGUAAGUAAACUCCUAAAUUUUCCCAUAUUUUAAUCAUAAAUUCUUUAAAAAAUUCACUUCUCAUAAAAUAUAUUCUAAAAAAAUCUACAUUAAAUAGAUCCUAAACGAAGGUAAAAGUAAAAUUGGCCAAAAUAAUUGGAAGGUAAAAGAGUAAACGGAGGUUAUGAAGAUGAUGACUAUAUUGCCACCAAAAUUUUUAUUAACUACAUCAUAUUUUAAUUGUAAUUAACUCCUUAAUCAUUGUUCAUUGUAGUAAUUAUUUUCUUAAUUUUUUCAUCGAAUUCUUAUCUUCAACCUUCCAUUAAUUUGUAUAUCUCAUUUUUUAUGUGGAUUUAUGCCAAAAUAUUUUGUUUCUAUACUUUAAAAUAAAGGAAAAAUAUUUUUCCUACCUUCUAAUUUAUUUAUUUUUUAAAAUAUGAUGAGAAAAUAAAUUGUUAUGGGCUAUUGUAAUGGACUUUUUAAACAUAAAAUAUUUUUAAAUAUAAAAUGUGUCAACACAUGAAAAGCUUGAGGAUUAGAAUACCGUUAGAAACAUAAAUGUUAUAAUGAGUAAAGAUUGAGAAACCUAAAUGUAAUUAAAAUGCGAUACAACAAAUAAAAAUUGUUGGUGUGAAUAUAAUUACAAUGGAGAUGACAAGGAAGACGGGGAUUGGAGAGAAAUAAGGAAAUAUGUCCAAUCAAUCCCCAUGAAUCGGCAGCCAUGGAAUUUAGGGAUUAUUAGAUACAAAAUGUGUUAACUCAUGAAAAGCUUGAGGAUAAGAAUACCAUGAACAAUAGUUAGAGACUAAAUGUUAUAAGAAGUAGAUUGAGAAUUCUAAAUGUAAAUAAAUAUGCUGUAAAAGGUAAAAUAUAUGAAAUGAAUAUAAUUCCAACGGAGAUAACAAGGAAGAUGGGGACUGGAGAGAAGAAAUCAUGAAAUAUGUCCAAUCAAUCACUAUAAAUAGGAAGCCAUGGAAUUUAGGGAGACUUAUAAAGCCACCUCCAUCAAGCCGCCGCGUCUCAUAUCUAAAUUCUUCAAUGCUGUUUUGCUACCUUGACAGCGUCCUAUUUCCUCUGUUUUUUCUUUUUUCCCAUUUUUUUUUUCAUCUUUCAAUGAUAUUUUGCUAUGUGUUAUCUGUGAAAGAAAUCUUUAUGUGUAGCAUGAUUGUCCAAAUUGGUGAAUGACGAUGGUUUAUAUCAUCGGCUGGCUUGAGUUAUGGAGCCAUUACAUAAUAGCUUAGCCUGAACCAUAGGAAUGUUGGAUGAAAUUAUAAUCAGACACUUCGUUUGAAAACGAUACACUUUAGUCCUGUUUGGGUUCCAUUCUACAAAAAAUUAUUUUUGUUAAACCUCAUUUUUAAUCAAAUUCUUCUUAAACUCAAGACCUCGAGUUUUUAGUUUUGUGGCGUGUCUGUAUUAUAAAAAAGAGAACCAAAAUGAUAGGAAAACAUGAUUAUCACCUCAAUUGUUUUGUUAUAAUAUUUACCUAAUGCUUUAUUUUAGUUCAAAAGCACCUACGAAAUUAUUUGAGUUGAAUAGUAACUAAAUAACUCAGUCCUCGUUUUGUCAAAUUUAUGAGUUAUUUAUAAAGAUUAAUAGUGGUGGAUCCGGAAAAAUGUGUAAAUAAUAACAGAGUAAAAAUUAUAAAUAUUUGGUUAAAAUUACAAAUUGUACUUGACUGAAUUUAUACACGUUUUAUCAGCUAGUUGCUAAAAAACAAAUUGUCCUUGACUAUAUUUAUAUAAAUGUUUUAUGUAUCAAUCGCUAAAGCCAAAUUGUAUCGACUCGUACAGGCAGGGCUAAUGUACCAUUUGGAUCAAGUUGGAAUAUCAACCAUUCACUUCUUAUCAACUGAAACCACUUUAAACAUUCCAUAAUUUUGUUGAAGUGACCAAAAUUUUUAAAUUGACAAUCUUGCCAAUGAUAAAUGAAUGUCACUACUAUGCGACCAUAACUAAAGAGCAUUUUAGAACCACAAAAAUAAAUGAAAAAGAGAAGUCCGUGAAUGGUGAGCCCUUGUUUGAACCCCGUUCUUUUAAAAAUUCAUUUUUUCAAAACUCAUUUUCAAUCACAUAUUUUUUAAUAAAAUAAUAUUACAUGCAAAUUCAAAUUUUUUCCUUAAUUUUUAACCACAAAUUCUUCAUUAAUCUACUAUUCAAAAUGCAUUCAUUCCCCCUAAAAUGGGGCUCAAACAAGGGUAAUGUCCAUCUAUUCUACCUACUUAAACAUGAAUUGCUCUUCGUCCUUGAAUCCAAAUGCAUAAGCUUGAGCCUACUUGUAAUACUAGUAGGGUAGAUCGAAACUUCGAUGGAUAAUUCAUUGUACGAGUUUUUGACAAUUCUUCAUUUGACUUUUCUUAAGAUUGUGAAUCUUUUGACAUUAUUAUAUUUCAAUCUAAGUAACGUAUAACAUAAAUUUUAUGUCAUAUAAAAGGAGAAUUUUGAUAGGAUUGCCUCAAUAAUAUAAACCAAAUUUUGACCUCAGAAAAAUAAAAUAAAAAUCACCCUUUAAUUGCAAAUGAAAUUGCCUGUGUGAGACCAUAUCUAUGGUUUCCAUUCAAAAAUGAAAUAUUCAUUGUUGACAAUAGCCAGAAAAUAAUUCCCUAGUUUGAAGUCUAUUCAAUCAAGACGAUAUUCUAACUAUUUAAUUGUUUUAAAUAUCGUAAACAUGAGGUUUUUUUUUUUUUUUUUUUUGUGAGACGAGGAGAAAAAAUAGUCCAGCAUUUUGGCUAAAGUAGAAAAAUAUAGUCCAAUCAGACAUCGUUAGAUAAGUGUACGUGUCUAUAUAUAUAGACAAUCACACGUCUUUUAAUUGUAUUUUCAACGGGGAAAAUAUUGCAAUCAAAAAAUCCUAUACAUAUCAAACAAGCGUAUAGUUAGAAAACUAUGUCUGAUGGGUUAAAUCAUAUUUUUGUUCAGAAUUGAGACCAAAAUGAAGUUAAUAUUGUACUUAAGUUUGUUACUUAGUUAUUUUUAUAGUAGCAAAUGACGCAUCUGGAGUUACUUCUAUUGGUAGUGUUUGUGAGUCUCAAACGAAUCGGAAAAAAUAGAAUUUAGAAUAGAAAUUUAAGUGAAGAAAAUUGUUCUCUCAGAAACUCAAUUUAUAUGAUUUCAUAUUUUUCUCUAAUAAUAAAACACUACAAAUAAGCAAUUUUUUGUUAAUACUAUAUUUUGUACGUAAUAAUUAAUUGUUAACACAUGAAUUUAGACAACCAUUAGAAAUUCCUAGGAACAAGAAGAGAACUAGAUUCAUCUACAAUAACUCUACAUGCAUGUAAAUCCAAAUUCAUCAAGACAAGAUUCAUCAAGUUUAAACUAAUAUUCAAACAUCCUCCCCUAAUCUAGACUCGAAUAACACUUUUUAUCGCACUCGAUCAGUUCAGAGUAUCCCCAGCUAUCUAGCCUCAUCCGAAGACUCGUCCCUUCAACUUUCUUCUUUCCCACCGCCGCCUUGCUUGACUUCACCAUUGAAUUAUUAACCACCUCAAUUGUCGGUGGCAAUGAAGACAUGGGCUUCUUCUUCAGUGGAUCAAUUGGCUCAUUCCCUUUCCCAUCUCCCCACUCUCUCUUGAGAUCGUUUCUAUAUAUAGAUUUCUUCUUCCUUUUCAUCCAUACAAUAUAGAGGUCUCCCGGGUGGUCACUGUUGUUUUAGAUUUUAUGUUAUGCCAUUUCUUUUUACUUAAAGUCGCUUGUCAUCACCAAUCUUUACUUGACUUUAGAGAGGAUCGUCCCAAAUUGUGAAAAUAUCUUUAUUAUCACUGAUAUGAUUACUACAACCACUGUUAAGAUACAAACAUCUUUGGUGACAAACUUCUUGUGCUCUAAAGGCUAGAAAAAAGAGCCUCCUCGUCAUUAUUUUGUUCCUUAUGUAUGAAAUUGAGUUAUUUUUGUCACCAUUAUUUUUCUUAAACACGCAAUAUUCUUUAGCAUGGCCAAAACGAUUGCAAUUGUAGCAUCGAGAAUGAGAAAAAUUACCACAAUCUCGCAUCGGCCUCUUAAUAUGCCUCUUCCUCUUCUUCAACCUUAAAAUGAACUUGGUUCUUCCUCGCUUUCACUAUUGACACUCUGGGGCUCGAAAUUUCUACCAUUCUCCUUUCAAACUUUGACUAAAAGAAGUUUGAGAUUGAAAGGCUUGUUAUAAAGGAAUGGCAUCAAAUUGCUUCAAUGUAAGCUCACGAGAUUGGAGAGAUCCCAUCAAGUUAUUUACCAAUAAAUUGGCCAAGUCUUUUGAUUUUCAAUGGCGACAACAACGUGCUCAAAUUUUCUAGUCAUGCUGCUGAGAAUUUUCCCAACAGUUCUCUGAUCUAAAAUUUGUUCUCCAUUUACUUUCAAUUGAUUAAUAAUUGAGAGAACACGAUUAAAAUACUCCUCCAUCAACUCAGAGUUUUUCAUAUUAAGUGUAUAAAAUUCAGAUCUCAGAGCUUGCAAUCUUAACAUUUUUACUUUAUCUUUAACUUGACAAGUUGAUUGCAAAGUGUUCCAUGUACCAUUCUGAAUUUGUUGUGGAAAUUCAUAAGCCUUCUUGUCCUUCUUGUGAUUUUCCUUUAAUUCGUUAUUUUGUUGCCGAGUAAGAGCAACUUGAUCUUGUGGCUCAAUAAAUCCGUUCUCAAGAAUUUCCCUUAACUCUUGGGAACCGUAUAAAACUUUCAUUUGUUGACUACAAUUCUUCCCAUCGAAGCAAGGAAGUUAAGGUUGCAACACAUUGUUGUUGUUGGAUGCUAUAUCGUAAACCCAUUCCAAUAUCAAUUUGCUGAAAGGUUUUGAUGAGCCUCAAAAGAAUCAAAGAAAAUGAAAUUUAGAUAGAAAUUUAAGAUAAAAAACAUUAUUCUCUCAAAACUCAACUUUUAUGAUUUCAUAUUUUUUCCUAAUAAUAAAAUAUUACAAAUGAUCAAAUCUUUUUAUUACGUUUGCUAUAUAAGAAUUAAUUGUUAAUACAUGAAAUUAAAUAACAAUUUAAAAUUUUGAGAAAAAGACAUACAAUGGAUGAUAUUCGUACACCUGACUAGUCAAGUUUGGCACAAUAUACUGGUACAUGUUGAUUGAUUAAUAACAAGAUCUGUAUUAAAUUUGAAUUAAUCCGUCUCAAACUUGAUUAACUGCCCAUGUUGAGAUCCUUAGUUGGCAACAACCAAUUUUUUAGAUGCUAAUAAUUCCACGAGACUUGAAAUUACCUCACAAAAUUGUAAGUAGAAAUUUGUUAGUGAUUUUUCAAAAUUCAUUGUUUUAAAAAUUCAUUCUUAAUCAUACAUUUUUUUUAACAAAAUAAUUUUGUAUGUAAACUCACAAUCUUUCAUAUUUUAAAAUCAUAUAUUCUUUAAAAAAAUUCACUUUUCAUAAAAUUUAUUUUAAAAAUAUCUAAAUUAAACAAAACCUGAAAGAGGAUAAACGCCAAAUUGGUCAAAGCUGAAGGGUAAAAGAGUAAAUGGAGGUUACAAAAGAAAAUGAAGAGGGUGGUUAUAUUACCAACACAAUUUUUUAUCAGUUACAUAAUAUUGUAUUUGCAGUUAAAGUUCCUAAUCUUUGUUCAUUGUAGCAAUUAAAUGCUCAAUUUUCUUUCGUCAAAUUCUUAUCUUCAACUUGUCAUUAAUUAGUAUAUCUUGUCCUUGAUGGUGAUUUAUAUCAAAAUAUUUUGUUCCUAUGAUUUUAAAUAAGGAAACAAAAUUCGUACUAUUUAAUUUAUUUAAUAUUUUAAAAUAUGAUGGAAGAAGAAGUUGUUAAACAUUGUUUUAAAAUAUGAAGCAAUGAAACUCUUAAAUCUUUGUUCCGUGCAGUAAUUAUUUCCAUAAUUUUUUCGUCGAAUUCUUAUCUACAAACUUCCGGUAAUUGGUAUAUCUCAUCCUUGAUGGUGAUUUAUGUCAAAAUAUUUUAUUUUAAAAAUUUAAAAUAAGUGAAAAAUAUGCUGACAUGAACUAUUAUUAAAUACAAAAUACGUUAAGUAAUAAAACAUUUGAGGAUAAGAAUAUCAUGAAAAAUCGACAAGGACAUAACUGUUAUAAUGAGUAAAGAUUGAACCUUAAAUAUAAUUAAAAUAGGGUGCAAGGAAUAAAAUUGUAAUAUGAACAUAAUUAUCCAAAUUGGGAUGACAAAAUAGAUGGUGACAGGGUAGGAAAAAACAACUAAAUGUCCAAUCAAUACAUAUGAAUAGGCGUCCCCAGGGCACAUCUCCAAGUGGUAAAAGAGAAGGGUGGAAAAAUCCAACUUUGCUUGAGAUUGCAGCGUCAAGGGUUCGAAUCCUGAAACAUGGAUUUGGCUCUUGGGUAAGUGCAAGUGUACAAGCAGCCUUCCACCAUUUACCCUUGGAGGCAUAACUGCGAUUUACCUCCCUCACGAUACUCCAGAACAGGGGCGAUGGGGGACCCUUAAGGUUGGGGUUCAACAUUUUUUUUUUUAAUACAUAUGAAUAGGCAACCUUGGAAUUUAGGUAGACCUAUAGAGCCACCACUAUCGGGCCGCUCAUCUCAUUUCUAAAGUUGAUUCCUAAAACUAUUCAAUCCUAUUGAACCUAAGAAAUGUAGCAGUUCAAAUUUUUUUUCUACAGGCCUAACGUGGCAGUACAUAGGAAUGUUGGAUGAUGUUAUAGUCUACUUUGUUUGUAGUUUGAACUCUAUUAAUUAUGAUACAUACAAUUUUAUUUUUUUAAACUCAUUUUUAAUCAAAAUUUUCUAAUUAAAUCACAAAAUUUAAUCACACUCCUUGUCUCAAAACCUCGAGUUUUCAAUUUUGUGACGUGUCUUCAUUUUAAAAGAGAACCAAAAUGAUAUGAAAAAAUGAUUAUCAUCUCCCAUUGUAGUGGUUUUAAUCUUAUCAAAUGCAUUAUUUUAGUUCAAAAGCACCUGUGAAAUAUUUGAGUUGAGCAUUAACUAAACAAUUUAGUGACUACUUUUCAAAUUUAUAAGUGAUUUAAAAAGACUAAUAGUAGGGAAUCCUAAAUCAUAUGUGGAUACCAACCGAGUAAAAAAUUGCGAAUAUCCAUUUGAUCGCAAAAAACAAAUUGUACUUAACUGAAUUUACAUAAAUGCCCCUUAUCAAUUGAUUGCUAAAAACAAAUGGAUUAGAAUCGUACACAUGCACGAUCAGUGAACUAUUUGGAUCAAGGUGGAAUAUCAUCCGUGAACUUCUUGAUGAGGUUCAUGUGGAGGAACAGACACUUGGGUGUAUGGAAUGCUUGGAUAGUCUGCGUUCAAAAAAAUUGACGUAACUUUUGUAUAUGGUGUCCAUUUUGGGCCCAUAAUUCCAUUCCGUUUUGACCGUUUGAAUUCGUUUAUUGGGUCAAAAUGACAUUUAAAGUUUUUUAGUUUAUUAUUUUUAGUAUUUGUUAUUCUCACUUUGUAGCCCAGCUCAUUAAGAAACUAUUAGCCCGAUAGGUUAUCUAUUCUUUUCAUAUUUAAGACUCUUAAACGUCUCCUAGGGUUUUUUGGUCGUUCAUAAAAUAAAAAAAAAAACUUUUGUUUUUUGAGUUCAAUCCAUUUGAGUUGUUAGUAUCUUGUGUUUUAGAUUCGAUCUACAUUAAUUCUUAUCGACUCAAAUGAUUUAAAAAAAAGGGGACUCAAACAACCCCUUAAUCUUUGUUACUUGUAGUAAUUAUUUCCAAAAUUUUUCAUUGAAUUCUUAUCUACAACUUUCCAUUAAUCAGUAUAUCUCAUCCUUGAUGGUGAUUUUUGUGAAAAUAUUGUUUUUCGAAAAAUUGAAAUAAGUGAAAAAUAUUUUUUCAUACUUUUUAUUUUUAUUUUUUAAAUAGAUGGGAAAAUAAGUUGUUAUAUAUUAUGUAAAUGGAUUUUUGGACAUAAAUUAUUCUUAAAUACAAAAUAUGUUAACUAAUAAAAAGUUCGAGGAUAAGAAUAUCAUGAAAAGUCGACAUUGAUAUAAUUGUUAUAAUGAGUAAAGAUUGAACCUCAAAUAUAAUUAAACUAUAGUGCAAGGAACAAAAAUGUGAUGUGAACUAGAGGCGGACCCAGACCUUUAGUAUUGUGGGGGUCAAAAUUUUAAAAAUAAUUUUUUAAAAAAAAAUGACAUAAUAUCAAUGAAAAUAAGUUUAUAUGUAUUUUGACAUUUUGAAAACGUUGUAUAAUUACAUCAUUAUUAAUAUUAUUAAAUAAAUUUUGCUUUUUGUAUCCUCUUGUUUAUCAUUUCAUUGGCAAAUGUUGAGCUAACAUUGAGUAAAUUAAAUUGAAUAUAGAAAUUAAAUAAAUUGAAAUAAAAUUCAACUUUAAUUUAGGAAGUAAAUGAAAUUCAAAUUUAAAGCAAAUAUAAUUCGAAAGUAAUACAAAUUGCAUUUAAUCCAUAAUGACCCUAAAAAAUUUACGUCAUAUUUCACGUAAGACUUCUGAAUGAAACGAUAUAAAUUAUAUUGAAAAAUUUAUCGUGCAAAAAUAAUAAUUAAUUGAAUUUUUUUAAAAGAAAAAACGAGUUAGACGUCUUUUUUGAAACGUACGUUUGAUACAUAUAUUUAACUAUUUUCGAUAUCCAUUUGGACCAUUCGAUAUGAAAACGAUGUAAUUUUCGAAACAAACUUUUACAUGACAGACGAUUUGUGGAUUCAGAUAGCACAUGAUCGCAAAUGAAUUUUUAAAGUUAGGAUAUUAUCGAAAUUUUUAAAAUACUAAUUUCAAACGCCCUACUUUAACAUGUCACAACUUUUUUUAUAGUUGACCACUUCGCAUGACUUUAAUGAGUGAAAAAUUAGACCAUGAGCACUUCGAAAUGGUAUUGAAAAUGUAAUAUUUUGACUUCAUUUGACAUCCCGACGAGUACAUCAAAAUAGAGUGUAAAAAACAAAAAGGGGGAGGGGAAUUUUGUGGGGUCAUUUGACCCCACAUGACCCCAUGUGGGUCCGCCCUUGAUGUGAACGUAAUUAUCUAAACUGAGACGACAAAGUAGAUGGGGAUAGGAGGGAAAAAAACAACAAACAUGUCCAAUCAAUACAUAUGAAUGGGCAACCUCGAAGUUAGGUAGACCUAUUGAGCCACCUCGGUCGAGCCCCUGCGUCUUAUUUCUAAAGUUGAUUCCUCAAAUUCUUCAAUCCUCUAUUUACUCCAAAAUGGUGAAUAGUGGUGGUUUGCAUUAUCGGCUGGCUUGAGCUAUGGAGCUAUUAUAUAAUAGCUGAGUUUGAACCUAAGAAAUGUAGCAGUUCAAAUUUUUAUCAACAGGCCUAACGUGAGAGUAAAAGGUUAAACCCUAAUCUUAAGGGUCUCCCACCACACCUGCCCUGGAGUAUCGUGAGGGAGGUAAAUCGCAGGUUAUGUCUCCAAGGGUAUAGGGUGGAAGGCUGCUUGUACACUUGCACUUACCCAAAAGCCAAAUCCAUAUUUCAGAAUUCGAACCCUUGACACAGCAGCCUCAAGCAAAGUUGGAUUUCUCCACCCUCCCCUUUUACCACUUGGAGAUGUGCCCUGGGAGCGGCCUAACGUGAGAGUAGUACAUAGGAAUGGUGGAUGAAAUUAUUGUCAGAUAUUCUUUUUAAAAUUUGAACUCUAUUAAUUAUGAUACAAUUAGUCAUGUUUGGUUCCAUUCUACAAUUUCAUUUUUUUAAAACUUAUUUUUAAUCACAAUUUUUUAAUCAAAUCAAAAAAUUUUAAUCACGCUCAUUGUCUCAAAACAUCGAGUUUUCAAUUAUGUGGUAUGACGUUAUUUUAAAAGAAAACCAAAAUGAUAUUAAAAAAUGAUUCUCACCACCUUCAGUUGUUGGGUUUUAAUCUUUAUCUAAUGCAUUAUUUUAGUUCAAAAGCACCUGUGAAAUUAUUUGAGUUGAAUAGUAACUAAACAACUUAGCGAUUGUUUUUCAAAUUUAUAAGUGAUCAAUACAGAUUAAUAGUAGAGAAUCCCAAAAAAUAUGUAGAUACUAACAAAGUAGAAAAUUACGAAUAGUUGGUUAAAAUUACAAAUUAUACUUGAUUGAACGUUUUACCAACUGAUUGCUAAAGACAAAUUGUAAACUAUAUUUAUAUAAAUGUCUUAUCAAUUGAUUGCUAAAACCUAACCACGAUUAUUGUACUAUUUGGAUCAACGUGAAAUAUCAUCCAGUAACUUCUUUUCAACUCAAAUAGUUUAAAAAGUGUCACCAAAAUUUUUAAUUGAUAAUCUUUUCAGUGAUGAAUGAAUGUCACUACUAUAUGACCAAAACGAAAGAGCGUUUUAGAACCAAUAAGAAAAAAGGAAAAAAAAAAGUCAGUGUAUCGUGCCUUAAAUAUCCGUCUUAUCUAUCCACUUAAACGCGAACUGCUCCUCAUUCGUGAAUCUAAGCGACGUAUAACAUAACCUUUUAUAUCGCAUAAUAAGAAAUCAUCAAUAGAAUUUUGAUAGGAUUGCCUCAAUAAUAUAAACCAAAUUUUGAUUUAAAAGAACUCCGUUCAAUUGCAAAUGAAAUUGCUCGCUUGAGACCAUAUCUAUGGAUUCCAUUCGGAAAUUGAAAUUAUCACUAAUGACAAUACCCAGAAAACAAUUCUCUAGUUUGAAGUUUCUUCUAUAAAGGCGUCAUUCUAACUAUUUAACUGUAUUUUAAAUGAUGUACACAUGAGUUUUUAUUUAUUUGUAACAAUGAGCAUUAAUAGUCUGCAUUUCGGCUAAAGUAGAAAAAUAUAAUCCAAUGACGCAUCGUCAGACAAGUGUACGUGUCUAUAAAAGAAUCCUAUACAUAUCCAAAAAAAUAAAUAAAAAUAAAUUGGCGCACUAGGAUGAUUGGAAUAUAAUUAUACAAAUCGGGAUGACAAGGAAGAUGGGGACAGGAGAGGAAGAAAACAACAAAUAUGUCCAAUCAAUACCUAACACAAUGCAGACCUGAAUUAAAGUAGACUUAUAAAGCCAUCUCCACCAAGCCGCUGCGUCUCAUUUCUAAAGUUGAUUUCUCAAAUUCUUCAAUCCUAUUUUGCUCCAAAUUGGCGAAUGGUGAUGGUUUGCAUCAUCGGCUCCAAACUGAGUACAAAACGCAAAUUGUAUAGAAUCGUACAUGCAAGAACAGUGGACUAUUUUCAACUUUAAAUAUCAGCCACACAAUUCUUAUCAUCUGAAACCAUUUAAAACACGUGCAAGUAUUUGUGCAUUCUAUAUAUUCUACAUUUCUUGAGAAGUUUCAGUAGCUUGAGUUUGAAGAAGAGAUGCCUAUAGUUGUGAGAAUUCUGUCGUUGGGAUGGGCUAUCAUGAUGAUUAUGAGUAUUGCAAAUGUAGCAGAUGGAGCAAUUCCUAAUGAUUUGCUGGAAAAGAUUUCUAUAAUAAACAAAGAUGGUCCUUACUUGGGUAUUGUAGUGCCCAACAGUUUUGAGAUGAACCCUCUUCUCCAAUCUUCAAGUUUUGUUCCUCAUCCCAUGCUUUC
rnacentral:lncRNA from 1 species